rnacentral:lncRNA from 1 species
AAGCAUGCAGUAUAAUCAUUUGGGAGUUUUUGUGGAUGUCGUUUUUGCAAGGUGGGACUAGCAACCUAGGUGGACCACAAAGUGCAUAAUUCUUCAUGAAUGAUGUGCUAGAAAAGUUUGAAAAACACCCUUUGCUGGGAAUUUCCCCUUCAAGUCUAUUGAAAGACACAUUAAAAUACUUUAGAUAUAAAAGCUUUUCCAAAGAUUUGGGAAUGACUCCGGAGAGAUUGUUAUUGCAUAAAUCCAAGAAUUCCAAACUAAUCAACCCAUCAAAUGAUUCAGGGAUAUGACCAUGUAGUAUAUUAUUUGAUAAAUCUAAUGAAACCAAAGUUUGAAGAACCCCAAAUGUGGAUAAGAUAUCGCCCGUGAGAAGAUUCCUUGAUAAAUUUAGUUUCAGUAGAGUCCUCAAAUGUCCAACAUCAAUAGCAUGUGAAUAGAGAUGGUUUGAUGAUAAAUCUAUUUCUAAGAUAUCUUUAAGAUUCGACAAAUUUGAAGGUAUUGCGGAACUCAAUUUGUUGGAAUUUAAGUAAAGAUAUCCCAAAGAAGUAAUAUUACCCAAACAAGAGGGUAUGGGUCCAUGCAGCUUAUUCAACCCUAAAUUCAAGUUGUAUAGUCUCUCCAAACCACAGAGGCUUUCUGAGAUAGGCCCUCCUAAUUUUUAGAGGAAAGAAAUAGACCUUGGAGAUUUCUCAUUCCUCCUAUUGAUGCUGGAAUCAAUCCACUUAAUUUAUUAUAGCUAAGUUGUAAAAGCAAUAGGUUGGUUAAGUUACCUAUUUCCAUAGGAAUAAUGCCUUGAAGCUCACAAUUAUGGGCAUAAAAGUAUUGAAGGGAUUUUGAAAGGUUCCCGAUAUGAGUAGGAAGAACGCCACUCAAUGGAUUUCCUGAAACCGCUAUUUUUCUCAAAUGCCUGCAAUUCGACAAGGAAGAAAGAAAGCUCCACUCAUGAUCAGUAGCAGAUCCUGUGAUCAAAUUAUUGUUUACGAUUCGGAACCGUUCAAGGUGUCUUAAGUUGCCAAGUGUUUUAGGGAUUGGACCAGAGAAUAAGUUAUGUGACACAACUAGUUUCUUAAGCAUGGAAGCAUUUGAGAUAGAGUUGGGAAUGUUUCGGCUAAGUUUAUUUCCCCACAAAAAAAGAAUCUCAAGCUUUGGAGCAUUGGUGAUGGGUGGUAAACUACCUGUAAAAUAGCAUCUUUUAGAAAACAUAUUCAUUGAAUACCAAAUUUACAAAUAUAUAAUACAUUAAAAUAAAAACUGUAAAACUUUAAAUCAAUUAAGAAUAAAAUUUUGGCAUGGAAAAAUGUGAUGAAAUCAAUUAGAAAGUUGAGACAUAAUAAGAGGUUUUGAGUAGUAAUUAGUCCUUGUGAUUUCUAUAGACAAAACAUAUAAUACACUAAUAAUUUUUUAAAAUAUUGUAGAACUUGAAAUAAAAUAAAAAUAAAAGUUUGGCAUGAGAAUGUGGCAUCUAAUCAAUCUUAAAAAUGAGACUGACACUGAAUAAUAAUUAGUUAUGAUUUGGGAAACAAAAUUCUUAAAGUCAUUGUUUUUAAUGUAAACUGGUAUGAUUUUGAUCUAUUGGGUUAAUUAUUUAUUUUUAUUAAAUUAUAGUGUAAAAUUUAAAGAUUAUUAUUUGCUCAAAAUUUUUGUGUUUUUCAUAUAUUUGAAAGUUAAUCUUUAUAUUUUUUAUUUUCUGUGAUUUAGUCUCUUUACUUUUUGAAUUAAAAAUUUUAGGUUCAUUUGUUAACACUGGUAAAAAAGUUUUUGUGUUAGUAUGGCAUUUUGAAAAAUAAAAUAAACUUGAUAUCUAUGUUUUUAAUUAUUCCAAAUAUUGUUUUACUAUUUCAAGAUAAACUUUUUGUGUCUAGACCAAUAUCUUAAGAACUAUUGUUGCAUGUUUAAUUAUUCUAAAGAAUUGUUGAUUGAGUCUUAGCCGAAGUGCACUAUUCUCCUAUUUAUGAAUUAGAGAGUUGGUAAAGUAUUAAAUUUUGAUAUAUUUUAAAAUAUUAAAAAUUUAUUAAAAUAUUUUUUAUAGAAAUUGAUUGUACCACAAUAUACAAUUUUAAUAUCAAAUUUUUAAUUUUUUUAAAAAUAUUAGCAAAUAUAUACUUUAUUUCAAGUUACACAAUUUUUACUAGUUUUUAAAUUUUUUUUAAAAAUUUUUAUCGUCUUUUAUAAUUUCUAAUAAUUUUUUAUAAUUGUUUACAAUAUUUACAAUUUCUAACCAUUUUUAAUAAUUUUAUUAUUUAUUACAAAUUUAAAAAUUAACAAAUUUUUAUUUUUUAAAACAAUUAUAUAUUUAUAAUGUAGUUAAUUUUUUAUAAUUUUAUUUGAAAUUUUAAAUAUUUUUUUGGUUUUUUUAGAUGAUGAUGCCAUCAUGAUGUCAUCAUAUGUCACAUGGCAAUUUAUAAUUAGUUGAAUAUCUCAAUCUAUUUUUUUAACAUCCAAUGGACUAAAACAAGAACACCUGAUAAUGUUAGAGACUACACUAGGAAUGUUUGAUAAUAUUAGGUACUAAAGUGGGCAAAAAAAAUUAAGGACUAUAUUAAAAAUAUAUCUAUAAUAUAUAUAAAUGCAUGGAUUUUAAGAAACUUUUGAACUGAUAAUUAUAUAGUCUUUGUUGUUUACUAUAUUAUUGAAUUUGUUAUUUUAAAUAUUUUUUUAUUACUUUUAAGAUUUAUCAUAUGUAUGGAUAAGAAUUUUGGUUUUACUAAAAUAUUUGGUUAAAUAAAUUCACUUCAUAAGAAAAUUUAGCAUCCUUAUAAAUAACAAUUUUGAUUCUAUUAAAAAUAUUGUUUUAAAAAAUCUAUAAUAAAAAUUUAAAAUUUAUAUUGAAUUACUUUAUACUUAAAUUAUUAUUAGAAACUUUAUCAUACACAUACGUAUAUGAGAACCAUGUAUUUAGAACAUAAAUUUGUGUUUUAAAAUAACUUAUGAUAAAUAAUGAUAAAUAAUAACACAUGGCAUAUCUACCAUAUUAAAAUAAAAAUAGAUUAAAUUGUAAGUAAAACAUAAUUUAAACAUAUGAAUACAUCAAAUUAAGAAUACUAAAUGAAUACAGUUAUUUAUGAUGAUGUUGUUGCCAAUUCUUAAGUUGGUGUCGAGUUAAUUUGUGACAUCAUAAAUUUAAGUGAUAAAUUUAAGGUUUUAUGUAUUGAUGUGGAUUCAAAUAUCACCAUAAUUUUUUUUAAAAAUAAAAAACUAAAGUACCCUCAAAUAAUAUAACUUAUAUUAAAUAUGAAAGGGUAUUUUUAUAAUUUCUCUAACCGAGUUGAUGCCCGGUUGACUCAUGACACCAACUCAAUCAAAAGCUUCAAUAAUAAUAUAGAUAUUCACAUUAAAAAAACAAAAAAAAAGUACUUUAGUUCCAAAUAAUUAUAUAAUAAGUAAAUUUAUAUUUGAUGAAUAAAUUUAUAAAUCAUAUAUUUAUAUGAUCUAAUAUAUUAUAUUUAUAUUAAUUAUAUAUCAUCUACAAACUUCGAAGAUCAAUUUAUUAAGUAUCAAGAAAAGAAAAAAUGAAAUUGAAUUAACACUAAAUCAAUUUUUAGAUUUUGUCCAGAUGAUUUAAUGAUGAUAAAAAAAUUAUUAGCACUAUUUUUGAAUUAACAAAAAAUUAGUGAUAUAUUUUAAUUAUAUUUAUUAUUUAUUAGUUUUAAUAAUGUUUUUUUAAUUAUAUGAAGUAAAAUUAUAUCGUAUACUAAAUAUGGUACAUAUACUUUAACUAUAACUUGAAAAAUUAUUAUAUAAAUUAAUAUAUUUUAAUUAUAUUCAACCAUUUGAAUAACAAAAUUAAAAAAAAUAAUUAGAAUUAUUUACUUUUUAAAGUUUAAUGGAAAUUAAAAAAUUAAAAAUAAAUCAAUUCAUAUAAAUCUUAUUGUUUAUUAUCAGAUUAAAAUGAUAAAAGUAUAUGACAUAAAUAGAAGAAACAAAUUCAACACAAUGUUUUUGGAGUUUGGAAAAAAUUAAAGUGAAAAACAUACCUUCUAAUUUGUUGUUAAAUAGAGCUAUUUCUUCGAGCGUAGUUGAAUUAAAAAUACUUGAUGGAAUCUGACCUACACACAUAGUCAAAAAUUGAAGUGAAAAACAUACUUUCUAAACUGUUCAACUAAAAAUACUUUAAGCAUCUUUUCUUCCAUCAAAUUAGUUAUCUAUUACAAAUCAAACUCUUUUAUGAAAUGUUGAAGAUGGAAGAUGGAACCUGACCAGAUAAUUGAUUGAAUCCCAAGUUCAAGAUCUCUAGAUUAGACAUGUUAACAAGUGUUUCAGGGAUUGUGCCUGUAAAGUUAUUAUUCUUCAUUUCCAGCCUUCGAACUCUCUGUAAGUUCCCAAGCCAUGAUGGAAUUUCCCCAUUCAGACGGUUGUAGCUUAAUUGAAGGAUCCUCAAACGAUGCAAUUGGCCAAAUUCUUUAGGGAGAUGGCCAUAGAAAUGGUUGCUACUCAAGUCGAGAGAGAGUAGAAAUGAAAGAUUUCCAAGGUGUGGAGGGAUAGUACCCCUAAGAUUCAUGCUUGUAAGAUUCAAAGCUAUAACUCUUUUAUGGAGGAUGCCACAAGAAACACCAAUCCAAUUGCAAACAGAGGUUGAGGCUGUCCAAUUGUUUGCCAUGUCAUUUUGAGGACCGGCAACGCGAUCCUUGAACUUGAGAAGUGCAAACUGAUUGGAGUUGAGAUUCUUGACUGUCAUAGCCAAGCAAAGUACGGAACAUGGUAUAAAUAAAGCUAAAAGAAGAUGAAAGCAAGUGUUGUAGUCCAUGAUUGCAAGAUGGAAUAAGGCAAGAAAAUAAUAAAAAAAAGUAGGAAAAGGGAAGUUGAGUUGAUAAAAUAGUUUGGAUGAUGAAGAAAAGCCCAGAGAGCAUGCUUUAAUAUGUUUCAACCCUCGCACACUUGAUAAACUUGAUAAAUUUAAGACUACCCUAAAAAUUAAAAAGGAAAACAAAGUUUUGAUGAAAUUUCAAAAUAAAUGUCAAGUAUUCUUCUUUUAGAAAUACGUACAAAGAAGCGAAUUUUCAAAAUUUCUCCUAAAUUUUCUUCACAUUACUCCACAUAAUCCAUUAAAAAAACUUAAAAAAUAUAUUUUAUUAAUUACUAUAUAUUUUUUAUUUUCAGAAUAAUAAAUUGUUUAAAAUAUGCUAUUAGUCCCUGUAAUUUAAAAGUUAAAAAAAUCCAAUCCUCCUAUUUUUUUAAUUUAAAAAUUCUAGUCCAAUCAUUUUUAAUUCCAUUAAAAAAUUUCAACUUAAUAGAUUUUUUAUUGUCAAUCAUAUGCAACAUUAUAUGAAGGCAGUCUACUCAGUAUAUAUCCAAGUUUCCAGAUUUUAAUAGAAAAUACUUACAAUCCUAAUGAUAGGACUAAGUUUUUUAAACUAGAAAAGUAAAACAAACUUAAUUUUUAACUUUUUUAAGUACAAGGAUUAAAUUUUAAAUGUUGUCAAAGUACAAGCACUAACAAAAUAUUGUGAUCUAAUAAAUGUAAAAAGCAUUUUAAACAAAAGAAGGUUGAAAUAAUAUAUUUGUCCUUAUACUUUGAUAAAAUUUGUAUCUUUUUUCGAACUAUUUAAUGCCAUUUCAACAUUUUCAUUAAAAAAAACAUAUCAUUUUGAAUUUGAUCUUUUUCAAUAUGAAAAUAUUGAAAUGAUGUUAAAUUAUUGGAAAGAGAUACAAGUUUCAUGGUAUCUCUCUAAGAAAGCUGAUGUAAGAUAUUAAUGACAUCAUUUGAACAAAGUUUUAGGUCAAAUUAUUCAUCUAGUCCUUGUAAUUAUUCUUUAAGGUGAAUUUCAUUAUUAUUCUUUUAUUUUCUUUGGCUUAAAUACACAUUUACCCCUAAUUUUAUCACAUUCUCCUUAAUUGGUAUUUAUAGUUUAGAAAAUUUUACAAAUAUAUUAUUUUUUAAGAAAUUAUAAGAAGAUUACAAAAAUUCCAAAAUAAUGUAAAAAAGCUAAGAAAAACCUAGAAAUUCAAAAAAAAAAAUCAUGUUUUUACAAAUUGGGGUAUGCAAUAAAUUUUAAGAUGGUUUUUGGAGUUACAUCUCACUUUAGCAUUGACUUACUUUUCUACGGUUAGUCUUCUCCAACAAGUUAAAUAUUUCAAUUUUAACAACAUUGACAGGUCUUUGGGGUAGGGUCGAGCAAAACUCAAUAGAAAUAGAUGAUAUAGGUUGAGUUGGCUCGGCCAAGUCGAGUCGACUUGUUCAAAUUUGUUAAAUUAGUAAAUUUUAGGGUGCAGUUAGAAUUUUUUGUUUUGAGAUGCUAAGAUUAAAAAAUUUGAGUUUUGAAAACUUUGACUCCUUUUUGCUUUGAGAGUUGAUUUGAAGAGAAAAGAGCUUGAAGGUGCUUUUGUAGAAAUAGGACAAAUUUUAAAAUAAGGAGUAAAUUGGAAAAAAAAAUUUGGGUUGGGCUAAUUUGAAAAUUUGACACUUUUGUGGGAUAAAAAUAGAAAAAUAUUUUAGUUGAAUACACAUAAGGAGUUACGAACUUGAGACUUAUAGGUAGACUAAGGCCUUACCACUUAACCAACAAGCUUAUUAUUAUUAUCUUUUAACACAAAUAAAUUUUAAGGCAUACUAAGGGCUUGUUUAGCAUUGCUGUGAAGAAGCACUUUUGGCUUAGAAACACUUUUAAGAGAAAAGUGGUUCUAAGCUAGUAACUUUUGGCUAAGAUUUUGGCUUUUCAAAAGCACUUUUGGCCAAAUGGAGAAGCUAAAAUUAUUAGCUUUUCUUACCCAAAAGCACUUUUGAGUGCUUAAUUACUAAUUCAUCCCUCCAAAAACAUAUUUUAAAAUAAAAUAAUACAAAUAUGUUAAUAUUUAAUUACAAAUAUUUAAUGGUUAUAUUAAAUAUUUAAAAUAUAAUUUAUAUAUUCUAAUUAAAUUUUAUAAAUAAUUAAUAUUUGUUGCUUAAAAAUAUUUAAAAUUUAUAUUUUAUAUAUUAAAAUAUUAAAAAAAUAUAUAAUAAAUUAUUUUUAUAUUCUUACUAAAAUAUCAUAAUAUUAAAUAAUUUUAAUAUUAUUUAAAUGCAUAUUUGUUACUUUAUAAUAUCAUGUCUAAUAUUGACGUUUUAUUUCUUAAAAGCACUUUUUAACAUUAAUAUUAAACACUUAAAUCUUAAACUAAAUUUCUCAAAGAUAGUUUUCUACAACGCUUUUUAAAAGUACUUUCCAAAAUCAAUGCUCAACUAUCUCAAACUCUCUUACCUUAUACUUUAAAAGAGAAAUUUUUUUUUUAAAUUUUAUCCCUAUUUCUUUUAACCCAAUUUUUUGGAUGUCAAACAUUUAUAAAUAAAAUAAGAAAAAGGAAAAAAAAAAAGCAUAUACAUAUUGAUGGGUUUUUUUUAUUAUUAGACUUUAUUUUUUAUCUCAGGUAAAAGUUUUUAUGGAGAGGAUCAUGUAAAAUUAUGAUCUGAAUCAUUUUAAACAUUUCAUCAUUGCAAAAAUGAAAUAAUAGGAAAGAAUGACUAUACAAAUUUGCAUUUGUGUUCUUUCUUUCAAUAUUUGCUUUCAAAACUGUGGGAAAAUUUUAAAUUUGAUGAAAUUUUAAAAUUGCACUUCAGACGUAAAAUAUAAAAUUUAUGAAUAUGGACUACCCAUUUUAUUUAUAAUUUUCUGUGUUUUUCUUCUUUGCUGACUUUUUUUAAUGUCAUUUUCUAUCAUGAAAGAAACUUAAAGAUUCACUAUUUAUUUCUCAACCAUUAUGAAAUUACUUGACUAUGGGGGUAGAAUUUUCUCACCAAUUUUCUAACAUGAGAUUUUUUGAAUGAGACAAACAUUCAAUUUUAACACAUUUCCCAUAAUGAGUCACCCCUAUUUGUGAGUGAUUUGGGGAUAAAAGCUUAAACAUUUCUGGAUCACAUUGCAUUUAAGACGGGUGUUUGGAGUUAUAUGAUAUUUUAACAUAGACUGGCUUUUCUAUAAAGAGUACUCCUUGCUUUACUAUUGUCAUGAUACGAGGAGAUACUGAAAAUUAUUGUACUAUGAAAUUUUAAUUCACUCGAAAAAUAAGUGUUUUAUUUCAAGGGAUUAAUAUUAGCUUUCUCUUUUUUAAAUUUUGAAUUUUUUUUGAGAACUGCGUAAUUAAGAAUAUAUCAAUUUUGGGUGUUAUAGGGGUGUUUUAACCUUCCCUAUGUGUAAUCGACUACUAAACUUUUUUAUUCUUUAGAAUUCAACACAUACCUCAAAAUUUUCUUUUUAAAAGAUUUUUAAAAUCUCUUUAUAAAAGAUUAUCAUACUUAACAAAGAUGAUCAGUGACGACUUUUCUUUAAUAAAAUAUUAUGUUUUUGCAAAGACCAAAAUUUUCAUAUUUUUCAAGAAUUCCUCAAUCUAAUUUUCUUUUUGAAUUUUUAUUUUCAAUAGGAAAAUGAUCCCUACAAUUCAUAUUUAUUUUCUCCAUUUUUAAUGUUUUUUUAAGGGAAAUGAAUAGUGGAAUGAUAAUUUUUAGUUAAGGUAAAGUAAAUUUAAUUAUCCACAACCUUCAACUAUUAAUUUUUUGAUUUAAUUACACAAUUUUUUGAAAUUAAUACUCUUUUAUUAGUUGUCGCUAGUUGAGGGACGAAAAGUUGAUUUGGACUUUUUUAUUGACCUAAUAACAAAUUUAGAUAUUCAAAGUUUACUUAUUCUAUCAAUUUAAUGCUAAAUUUAAAAAAUUCAACAAAUCCUAUCAAAAAACAAUUGGACCUUGAGUACACAGGCUGUGAGAUUUUCACAUGGCUGUGUCUACGCUGCACUCUAUUUUAUCAAAUUCGGACAGAGAGUUACACAGGCUGUUCACACAGGCGUGUGCCUCCUUCACAUGGGGCGUGUAGACCUCCACACAGCUUAGGAACUUCCACAUGGUUGGGGCACACGGUCAUGUGGCCUUGUUUUGUAGAUUUUUGUUCUGUGUCAGAUUUUAACUCGUUUUGUGCCUGUGUGUAUUCUGACCCCAGUUAAGACUUAGUAAGAAUGUUUAGGACUUUGAUUAGUUUGAAUUUGUGCAUUUGUUCGUAAUUAAUGUGUUAAUUUAUUAGUUUGAUUAAAUGUUAUGUGAUAUUAUUAGUAAAUAGUUACAAACCUAAUUGAUUCUAAAUCUGAUUGAUUGAACUUGUGUGUUUUGUUUUCUGUAUGAAUGUUUGUAUGUUGUGUGCAUUUUGUAAUCGCAUAAAAAUUUUACGAUUGACUGACUGAAUAUGAGCUUCUAUAUCUAUGACACUAUUAGUGUUUGAUGUGCAUUCAUACACAUGCAUAAAAUUGGGGUUUUGGUUAUGAAGAGAAGGAAGCCUGUUUCGGUAGUUCAACUGUAAUAUUUUUGAACAGCGGUUUACCGUGUGAUUCUAUAUAUAUGUCAGCUCAGCUGCAUAUUAUGAUUUCGAGUGGCUUAGUUUCCACAUUGUAGUGUGUAGGGUGGAUGAACCUUUUAUAGUUCUUGUAAUAGGCCCAAUUUGUCCGAGCCCAACAAAAUAAGUUACAAACCCAAAAUAAACAUUACAAGCCCAAAAAUUUAAAAAAACCUAAUGGCCCAAGUGGCCCAAAACUUAACCUUCUUCAGCCGCCGCUCCUUCCACGCGUGCCAACCUCCUCAUGCGUGCCACCACCUCAGCACCUCCAUACCCUCCACGCUCUCUCUCUGCCACCAUAGCAUGCGUUCUUGCCCCGUACUUGCAGACCAAGCAAAAGAGAGCACAACAGUAAAGAGAAAAACAUUGUAUUUUUCGGCUAUAAAAGCCAUGAACAAAUCAAUGUAAAUUUUUUACAACAAAAAUAAAUACAAAAAAGGAAAUCGGAAACAAAAAAAGGUGGUUCUUUUGUUUUUUGUUUUUAUUUCUUUUCUACUUAUAUUUCUACUAGUUUUUAAGAAAAAUAAAAAAGAAUGGACUCAAAUCUUACCCUUUUCUCGCAUGUGCGCCGUCGUGGGGGGUCGAGGUUCGUCGUUUCCAAUGAAAAACAAUGUUUUUUUUGAGUCGAGGAAGUUGAAAAGUCAAAAAAUGGCCUUCUUUCGAUUUUUUGGCCACCGUGGAUGGCGGCACCGUCACUGGCAACCGGCGACCGGCGGCCUCUACGAUGGUCCGUCGGUUGGAGCCAUGGCCGGAGAGGGGAGUUGAGAGAGAGGGGGAGAGUGAUUUGAGUUUUUUUUUCAGAGAAUGGGGAGAAAUGAACAAUUUUAAAAAAAAUUGGUUUUUAUAGAGGAUUGAAACGGCGCCGUUUUGGGCCUUAAACCCAGUGGCCAAAACGACGUCGUUUCACCCCUUUAAUCCGCGCGUGGACCCGACCUGCAAGAGGAUCCGUGUGUUUUUGUGAAAGGGUCUAUUUGCGCGUUAGACCCUUUCGUAUUUUUCAAUUGUCUUAAUCCAGUCCUUUUUUAUUUUCUAAUUUGUACUUCAAAUUUUAUUUCAUUUUCGAUUUGGUCCUAGCAAAACGGUGCGUUUCAGAGGGCGGGGAUAUUUCCCCAGUUGGUCCCUCUUAGUUAUUCGCGCCUUUCAAAUGGGUCCUCUACCUUAUUUUCAUUCUCGAUUUUUACCCAGAUUUCUGAUUAAACUUCAAUUUAGUCCUUCUGCGUCUAUUAAUUUAUAAUUUUAGCCCCUCUUAUAUUCAUAAACUUAUUUUAUUAGGAUUGGACUCGUAAUUUUAUUUCAAUGUCAAUUUAAUCCCCUUUUAUCUCUGUCUAAGUUUUUUUUUCUUUUUUUUGUGUUUUAUUUAUUUGCUUACCAUUUCUUUUUUUAUUUUGAUUUUCGUAUUUAAUGAUGCUUUUAUUUUAUUUAUUUUAUUCUUGACUUUCAUUGUUAUUAUUGUUGUUGUUGUUGUUGUUGCUGCUGUUAUUUUUAUGGUUUUUUAUUAUUUCAUUUAUUUACAUAUUUUAUUCAAAAUUGUGUCUUUAAAUUUUGUUUACAUUUUAAUUCGGUUCUUUACUUUCAAUAUUUUUUAUAAACUAUUUUCCCUUACAUUAUUUAUGUAUUUAUUUAUUUAUUUCUUUUUAAAGUUGGUAUUGUCCUUUUAUGUGCAUACUUUGACAUUAUUACCAGUGUUAUUGUUUAUUUUAUUUAUCUUUUGAUUAUUAUUAUUAAUGUUAAAGUAGUGUAUAUUAUAUGAUUCUCUAAAUUGUCUUUAUUAUAUUCAUUAUUGUUAUUUAUUAAUGCAACAUUUCAUUAAUGUAUUAUUUUAAAUAUUACACAUUUUUACCCAAAUUUGUAAAAAAUAUAAAAAUUAGAAAAUAAGCAAUAUUUCGUAUUUUGGAAUUCAAAAAGUCGUUCCCUAACUUACGGGGUUUCAAUUUUUUUUUAUAAAUCCAAAUAUACAAACCAUUUUUCAAAAACACAUUUUUAAAAUUAUCUCAGGAAUUAAAAAGAUUGUUUUCCAACUUACGAAAUAUGAUUUCUUUUCUAAAACUGAGAUAAUAAAAAAUUUCUAAAAAUAAAUAAAAUUUUUGGUGUUUAUUCUCGUUUCGAGAUUUAAGGUUAACUCACAGGGUAUAAUUCUGUUUCUCAGUUGACGUAAAAUAUGCCCUUUUUAAAAUUCUUUUAGGUAAUUUUAAUAAAAGGAUCGUAUUUUAAGUCUCUUCAAAAUUUUCAACUUUCAACAUUAAGACAUUAAUUAAUCAAUUAGGUAUCAAUUUUAGGCGUCACGAGGGUGCUAAUCCUUCCUCGCACGUAACGGACUCCCGAAGCCAUUUUUCUCGAAUAUCGUAGACCAAAACCAUUGUUUUAGUAAAAUCGAAACGUUUUGUUAAAACGAUUGGAUUGCAAGGUGAUCCGAUCACACCUCAAAAAAAAUAUCGGUGGCGACUCCAAUUUUUUUUCGUUUUUAUUUUUAAAAUAAAAGUCGACCCCUUUUUUAUUAAAAAAAUGGCUUUGACAGUUCUAUGUGGUGUGCAGGGUAGACGGGCCUUCUAUAGCCCUAAUGUGGUGUGCAGGGUGGUCGAAGUGGUGUUCAAAUGGUUGGGUGGGUUUUUGACUUAUUGCAUACGGUUUGCAUUAGGCAUAUGUGUCUGAUUAUGAUUCUUUUUAAUAUUAUUUGCAAAUGUUUGUACUAAUUUGAUUAUUACAUGUGUUUGAGACAUUGCUUAUGCAGUUUGAUACUAUAUAUUGACUUAUCGAUGUAAGCUUUUCGUAAGUGACCAUCAUAUAGUGCUUGUCUGAAAUAUUUAUGGAGUUAUCCCCUCUUUUACCGACUGUUGUGUUUUGGACUCACACUGAGCUCGCGUAGCUCACCCCCUUAGUUUUCUUCCUUUUAGGUACUCUCGUGUUCUGUAGCUAGUCUCGACAUAUUAGAAGGCUCAGACGGAAGAGGUGAGAUUUGAUUUACUAAAGUGUUUCGAUUCAAUUUUAGUUUUUCUAUCUUCUUGGGACUAUAAGUGUUAAUAGGGACUGUGGUAUAAGUUUUACUUCUGGACUUUCGUAAAUUUUUAUUUUGGGACUGAACUUUUGAAACUGCGGAAUUAUACUUUCUAAUGUUUUUAACAUAAUUUAAAAUUUUUGUUUGAAUCCUGAAUGGUUAAACGACUUAGUUUGAUUUAGCAAAACUGAGUUAUAAAUGAGAUGUUAACAAUUCAUUUUGUAAAAUUAUUUUUCGAUCACUUCGGUGUUCAAAGUAACCUCUGAGAUUCGAUCCAUACUUUUAGGCCGAGUUUUGGGGUGUUACAUUAGUUUUCAAGAGGAGAUUGGUGAUCUACUUGAAGAUAGAUUGAUUUUGAAAACUUUGACUCCUUUUUGCUUUGAGAGUUGAUUUGAAGAGAAAAGAGCUUGAAGGUGCUUUUGUAGAAUUAGGACAAAUUUUAAAAUAAGGAGUAAAUUUGAAAAAAAAGUUUUUGGGUUGGGCUAAUUUGAAAAUUUGACACUUUUGUAGGAUAAAAAUAGAAAAAUAUUUUGGUUGAAUACACAUAAGGAGUUACGAACUUGAGACUUAUAGGUAAACUAAGACCUUACCACUGAACCAACAAGCUCAUUAUUAUUAUCUUUUAACACAAAUAAAUUUUAAGGGCUUACCACUAAGGGCUUGUUUAGCAUUGCUGUGAAGAAGCACUUUUGGCUUAAAAAAUACUUUGAGAGAAAAGUUGUUCUAAGCUAGUAACUUUUGGCUAAGAUUUUGGCUUUUUAAAAGCACUUUUGGCCAAAUGGAGAAGCUAAAAUUUUUAGCUUUUCUUACCCAAAAGCACUUUUGAGUGCUUAAUUACUAAUUCAUCCCUCCAAAAACACAUUUUAAAAUAAAAUAAUACAAAUAUGUUAAUAUUUAGUUACAAAUAUUUAAUGGUUAUAUUUAAAUAUUUAAAAUAUAAUUUAUAAAUUCUAAUUAAAUUUUAUAAAUAAUUAAUAUUUGUUGCUGAAAAAUAUUUAAAAUUUAUAUUUUAUAUAUUAAAAUAUUAACAAAAAAUUAUAAUAAAUUAUUUUUUAUAUUCGUACUAAAAUAUCAUAAUAUUAAUUAAUUUUAAUAUUAUUUAAAUGCAUAUUUGUUAAUUUAUAAUAUCAUGUCUAAGAUUGACGUUUUAUUUCUUAAAAGCACUUUUGAACAUUAAUGUUAAACACUCAAAUCUUAAACUAAACUUCUCAAAGAUACUUUUCUACAACACUUUUUAAAAGCACUUUCCAAAAUCAAUGCUCUUACCUUAUACUUUAAAAGAGAAAAAAAGAUUUUAAAUUUUAUCCCUAUUUCUUUUAACCCAAUUUUUAGGAUGUCAAACAUUUAUAAAUAAAAUAAGAAAAAGGAAAAAAAAGCAUCUACAUAUUGAUGGGUUUUUUUCAUUAGGAGACUUUAUUUUUAUCGCAGGUAAAAGUUUUUAUGGAGAGGAUCAUGUAAAAUUAUGAUCUGAAUAAUUUUAAACAUUUCAUCAUUGCAAAAAUGAAAUAAUAGAAAAGAAUGACUAUACGAAUUUGCAUUUGUGUUCUUUCUUUCAAUAUUUGCUUUCAAAACUGUGGGAAAAUUUUAAAUUUGAUGAAAUUUUAAAAUUGCACUUCAGUAAAAUAUAAAUUUUAUGAAUAUGGACUAGCCAUUUUAUUUAUAAUUUUCUGUGUUUUUCUUCUUUGCUGAAAUUUUUAAUGUCAUUUUCUAUCAUGAAAGAAAAUUGAAGAUUCACUAUUUAUUUCUCAACCACUAUGAAAUUACUUGACUCUGGGGGUAGAAUUUUCUCACCAAUUUUCUAACAUGAGAUUUUUUGAAUGAGACAAAUAUUCAAUUUUAACACAUUUCCCAUAAUGAGUCACCCCUAUUUGUGAGUGAUUUGGGGAUAAAAGCUUAAACAUUUCUGGAUCACAUUGCAUUUAAGAUGGGUGUUUGGAGUUAUAUGAUAUUUUAACAUUGACCGACAUUUCCAUAAAGAGUCCUUGCUUUACUUUGGGUGGUCGUUGGUAUUACUCUCCAACAAUUAUUGUACUGUCAUCCUUAUUCCUACCCCACCUAGCAGAGAAGUUUCAUAAGUGUUUUAUUUCAAGGGAUUAAUAUUAGCUCUCUCUUUUUAAAAAAUUUGAAUUUUUUUUGACAACUGCCUAAUUAAGAAUGUAUCAAUUUUGGGUGUUAUAGGGGUGUUUUAACCUUCCCUAUGUGUAAUCGACUCCUGAACCUUUUUUCCUUUAGAAUUCAACGCAUACCUCAAAUUUGUUUUUUUUAAAAGAUUUUUAAAAUCUCUUUAUAAAAUAUGAUCACGCUUAACAAAAAUAAUCAGUGACGACUUUUCUUUAAUAAAAUAUUAUGUUUUUGCAAAGACCAAAAUUUUCAUAUUUUUCAAGAAUUCUUCAAUCUAAUUUUCUUUUUGAAUUUUUAUUUUCAAGAGGAAAAUGAUCCCUACAAUUAAUAUUUAUUUUCCUUAUUUUUAAUUUAUUUUUAAGGGAGAUGAAUAGUGGAAUGAUAAUUUUUAGUUAAGGUAAAGUAAAUUUAAUUAUCCACAACCUUCAAAUAUUAAUUUUUUCGAUUUAAUUACACAAUUUUUUGAAAUUAACACUCUUUUAUUAGUUGUCGCUAGUUGAGGGACGAAAAGUUGAUUUGGACUUUUUUAUUGACCUAAUAACAAAUUUAGAUAUUCAAAGUUUACUUAUUCUAUCAAUUUAAUGCUAAAUUUAAAAAAUUCAACAAAUGCUAUCAAAAAACAAUUGGACCUUGAGUACACAGGUUGUGAGAUUUUCACAUGGUUGUGUCUACGCUGCACUCUAUUUUAUCAAAUUUGGAUAGAGAGUUACACAGGCUGUUCACACGGUCGUACACCUCCUUCACAUGGGGCGUGUAGACCUCCACACAGCUUAGGAACUUCCACAUGGCUGGGCCACACGGUCAUGUGGCCUUGUUUUGUAGAUUUUUGUUCUGUGUCAGAUUUUGACUCGUUUUGUGCCUCUGUGUAUUCUGACCCCAGUUAAGACUUGGUAAGAAUGUUUAGGACUCUGAUUAGUUUGUAUUUUUGCAUUUGUUCGUAACUAAUGUGUUAAUUUAUUAGUUUGAAAAUUUCACAUUAAACUAAUAAUAUUAGCAAUUAACUUUCAACAAAUCUGUAACAACCUCAAAUCCAGCCUAAACGUUAUGGUCAAAUCUAAAAGGUUACAUCAGUAUGUAGAAAAUUUUGUUCUUCUAAAUGUGUUUUGUUACGAAAUUGAAAACCAAAAUUUAUGUAAGUUCGUCAUGAUUCCUCAAUAGAAAAAUCUGUAAAUUAUCAAAACGUAAAUGUGAACAUAUUAAUUAUUAACUUAAAAAGAACCCAGCCUUAUACAAUCAAAAUGCUAAAUUAAUCAUUUGCCUUGUAAAACUUGUAAUUUUCACUAAAAUUUUUGCAGCGAAAACAUUUUAUUUAGCCUAUUGAGCAUAUUUUUAAAUUUACAUUAUUAACUUUCGUAAAAUCUCAAUCCGUAUUUUUGUGGCGGAAAAUUUUAUAAUUUUGAAAACCUAGCAUUGAUUGUUGGUUAACACAAAUCAUGUAGAAAAAAAAACUUUAACUAAGCCAAAUAAAUCCAAAGCCAAAUUAAAUAAUGAAAGAAUCAAUCCGAGCGCUCGCAAAUUCUAACUUACCGAUUACCUAAAACGUCAUAAAUAAAGCAAAGGGGAGAGCUAUAAAGCUCAAUGCAUAACUAAAACUCAAGCUGAGAUCACACACAAUACAAUAAACAAAUCAUAAAAUCAUAGAAAAAUUCAUAACAAUCAGUCAAACAGAAUUGAGUAUACAUGAUUAUGCCAAUGCGGUAUUUUUCAGAAAAUCUUAAUGCAGAUUUUUCAUGAAAUGUCCUAGCCAAAUCCUCUACACACUUGAAUAGAGUUCUCCAGAACUUAUCCAUAAAAAAAAAAAAAACACACCAAUUAAGUCAUCCUAGGUUGCCCAAAAACGAUGACUCACCACCAUGGGAUGCCCGACAACGAUAGCUUAUCAAUAUGCAAUUAAACUGUUAGAUCAGAUAUUUGUGUUCAAGCCAUUGAAUUGCAACUCAGCUACCGAAACAAAAAUAUGUGGUGAAGCCACUAUAUUGCAUCCAAGCUGCUAAAUAAAAAUAUGUGGAUAAACCACCAGAUAGUGCAGACCAUUAAACUGCCAAAACUUUUUCCCUUCCAUAUUAUCCCAAUCCCAUGCAAUGUGACAUGGCAUGCAUUUACAUAAUCAAAACGACAAGCAUCUAAGGCAUGUAGUCGUACCGUAACAGAAUUUAGAAAGCAUGGCAUUCCACACUUUUACAGAACAGAUGUAUCACAAAUUCAACAAAAGCAAGUUGGAAUGCUAUAAAGUCACAUGCAUGAUCACAUAGCAGAAUCAUAAACAUAAAAAUAACGUAACCAAACCUCAUAUAAUCAUAUACAAACAUAACAAUACAAAUCAUGCUACCAGAUUCAUUAGAAAACAGUUCACGCACACGAAUUUCACAUACCUUAUUCAUAUCACCUACAAUAUCAAAUUAUCAGAUAUUACAUUUUCAAAGUCAGUUUUACACAGUACGAAUCCUACAAAGUGGCUAAACAUGAUUCACGAAUCAAAACGGGCCUAAAGGAAAAUUUUUAGAAAAUGGGCCAACAUGGCCCAAUUAGCCUAGGUCGUAUGGCAUCAACAGUCUAAUUUUUGACUUUCAAUAGUUCAUUAUUUUUUGAGUUUUUCGAUAUACACCUUACUAUUUUCCGAAGCAAAAUCAUGGCAAGAAUUCCAAAACCUAAAAUCGAUAUUCAACCCACUCAAAUUAGCAAUGAAAUCCAAAACUAAAUCGUUAAACAACCAAAACUGCUACCAAUAAACCUUAUCAAACCAGGAAUCAACCUUUUGGAAUCUGACUACUAACCCAGAAUAGUAGCAGUAGUACUAAAAAUCUCUCAAUUCACCGGAAGACUAUUUGUUACAGAAAUGUCACCUAAACCAAAGAUUUCAGAGUAAUCAAAAUCGCGUCACACAAAGAAGGAAACAAAUUAACCCCAAGAUCGUGAAACUCAACAAAGUACGAAUCUUUUCUCAUAUUCCUUACCACCAACCGUCAAGAUUGCUCAAAAACCACUAAUGACACCGACCUUCGCAAGGUUAAAUUGAAACUAAAAGGUAACUAAAGAUGGAACAAAGGUUGUUAUAAAAAAAAUAUUAACAAAGACUUAUUGGAGCAAAAAUUGCGAAAAAUCAAGAAUAAGGAGAUUGGAAAAAAAACAAUGAAACAACAAAGAGAAGGAGUGGGAAAGUGACGACAGUUUGUGGAGAGAUUUUGGGUAAAUAAAAAGUAACUCACAACUCAACCCAUUAAAUCUCAUUACCCUCUAAACAGAUUCCCUUAGAGUUUAAAUUCAACCCAAAUACCACUACAUGGGCGGCAUAGUGUAAGGAAAUAAAAAUAUUUCUACUUUGCACACACAGGGUCUUAAACACGAAAUCUUAGGGUAAUUUGAAGCCUUACCACUAAAUUAGUAGGCUCAUCCUUGAAAUUAAUUGAAUGAAAAUAUUAUUUAUGUCAAAUGAUUAGGGAUAGAGGUUAAGACCAAAGAUGACAAAAAUUCAAAGGAAAGAUUUAAACCUAGAACCUCACGCACACAAGCAUAACACCUAUUCAUUGAACCAGAUUUACUCCGUUGACAUAAUUUUCAAAAUAUUAACUAAAAAUUUAGAAUAUGGUCACUCUUGGUUUCACUUACCCAAUUUCUUCUAACCCGAUUUUUGUGAUGUGACAACUCAUCCCUCCUUAAAAGAAUUUCAUCCUCGAAAUUCCUACUGCGACACCAUACACUUAACCAUAAAAUUUAAAAUUCCUUAGUCCGAAUCGACCACCAGGCUAUCAUUGUACAACUCUAAUCUCCAUUCAAGUCCGAUCCAGACAAUAUUUCAGAGGAAUUUCCUAUUCACUACCUUGAAUUACCUCAAUAAGUUUUCCACAAAAACAUCACUAAUGAUCUUUUACCCCAGACUCUAAAAAACAUCAUUUACCACAAAAUACAGGUACAAAAAAUUCUUAUCAAUGCACAGUACAUUUGGAACAUAUCAUAAAAGUACCUGUAUCAUUGUCAGAUGCAUCACGACUCGCUUGAUACCUAGUUGCAUAUCCACAUCUCAGAUUUUGUUUCUAUACUGAAGCUUGUAACCGACUAAAAUAGUGUCAUGAGCAAUCCUAAACUCGAUGCUCAACGGACCCACAUCUGAAACAUGCUCCCAUUUUCCUCCAACAAUCGUCCGAAUGGUGCCUAUCAUAAUAAGUACAAAUCAGAACCUCAACCGCAUUCACAAUUACCUCACCUCGCUGAAGCCUGUCUAUUUUAGCCUGUUUCCUUGGUCAUGGAUUCAAGUCAAUAGAAACAUCACUCAUCUUAUUUUGCACUUUAUUCAUUACUUAUUCUCUCCCUCCGAGCAAUUACUCUCUACCGCUAACUUGACUUGAUACGCUUGAGGUCACUCAAUCACAGACUCUUGUCCCAUAUAUCCAAAUUAGGUUCCAUCGACCCUUUGCAAAUCUCUAAACACCUCUUGGAACACUGAAACAUCCCCUACUUCUAAACUGCCCUCAGAUUUGGGCGUCAUAGCAAACUUAUUUAUUUUCAAAUUGGGCUUACGGCCCCAAGAAGAGAACUCAGCUCGAGUCACCCGGCUAUGUCCACCACGCCCUCGCACAUCAUGACCUCGAGUACUCAUUACACAAAUCUCCAGUUUGAGAAAUUUUAUGAAUUAGCUUAGGUUUAUUAAAAAUCAUAAGUCUAGAGUUUUAUCAAAGUUUCUUACAUAAUUACCAUAGUCUUUAGCUAGAGUAGAGUAAUCCUAGCACUUAAGUUUUGCUAGUUUGUCUAGUAUAGCUAAAGUAAAGAUACUUACAGGAUCGACGAUGUAGUUUUGGAUUCUAUUUUAUAGAAUCAAAUAUAAAAAUAAUCAAAAUCUAAAUACCCAUUUUAGAAACCCAAAGUAUCAAAAUUAAUCAGAAAUUCAAUUUAUUUAAUGGAGAUUUUCGAACCCAGAAAUCACAGCCCGAGUUUUGUUACCUUGCUCUGAUACUACUAAAUGUAACACCCCAAACUUGGCCUAGACGUUAUGGCUUACAUCAGUACGAAAAAAAUUAUUUUUCCAAAGUGUGUUUUGUUACGAAAUUGAAAACCAAAAUUUAUGUAAGUUCGUCAUGAUUCCCCGAUAGGGAAAUUUGUAAAUUAUCAAAACGUAAAUGUGAACAUAUUAAUUAUUAACUUAAAAAAAAAAACCUAGCCUUAUACAAUCAAGAUACUAAAAUCAUUUGCUUUGUAAAACUUGUAAUUUUGACUAAAAUUUUUGCAACGAAAAUUCCAAACUAAUAUUCGUAAAUUGUAAUUUCGUCAAGUAAAAACGAUUUAUUUUGCCGAUUGGGCAUAUUUUAAAUUUACGUUAUUAAAUUUUGUAAAAUAUCAAUUCGUAUUUUUGUGCUAAAAAAAUGUUAGCUCAUAUAAUUUUGAAAAUCCAACAUUGAUUGUUGAGUAACACAAAACAUACAGAACAAAAAACUUUAACUAAGCCAAAGAAACCCAAAGCAAAAUUAAAUUUGAGAAAUUAAACCAAAAUCCAAAAGUCCAGUAAAUCCAUUUAUUAACCAGAGUAAACCAUUUAAUUAGAGAAUCAAUUCGAGCUUCCGCACACAGCCCGAUUCUAACUUAUCGAUUAUCUGAAACAUCAGAAAUAAAACAAAUGGGUGAGCUAUAAAGCUUAGUGCAUAACUAAAACUCAAGCCGAGAUCACACACAAUACAUUAUACAAAUCAUAAAAUCAUAGGAAAUUUCAUAACAAUCAGUCAAACAAAAUUAAGCAUACAUGAUUAUGCCAAUGUGGUAGUUUUCAGAAAAUCAUAAUGCAAAUUUUUUCAGAAAACAUCCUACCCAACACCACUACACAGCCGAAUAUAGUUCCCUAAAACUCGUCCAUCUAAAAACACACCAAUUAAGUCAUCUUAGGUUUCCCGAAAACGAUGACCUACCACCUCGAGUUAGUCGGCAGUGAUGACUUAUCAAUAUGCAGUUAAACUACCAAAUCAAAUAUUUGUGGUCAAGCGAUUGUAUUGCAGCUAAGCUGCCAGAUCAAAUGUUCCUAGUAUAGUCCAUAACAUUAUCAGAUGUUCUCGGCUCAGUCCUUUGGACAUUAAAAAAAUAGAUUUGGAUAUCCAAUUAAUCAUAAAUUGCUAGGUGGUAUAUGCUGAAGUCACGAUAACAUCAUCAUCAAGAAAAAAACCAAAAAAUUCUUUAAAAAAUAUCAUAAAAUUCAAAUAAAUUUAUAUAAAAUUAACUACAUUAUAAAUAUAUAAUUGUUCAAAAAUAAAAAUUCUUAAUUUUUUUUAAAAUUUGUAAAAAUAAUAAAAUUAUUAGAAAUUGUUAAAUAUUGUAAAACAUUAUAAAAAUUAUUAGAAUCAUAAAAGACGGUAAAAAAUAAAAAGUUAAAAUACUAGUAAAAAUUGUCUAACUUGAAAUAAAGUAUACAUUUGGUAAUCAAAUUUAAAAUAUUGAAAAUUUGAUAUUAAAGUUGUAUAUAGUAAUACAAUCAAAUUUUAUAAAAAAAAUAUUUUAAAAUAUUUUAAUAAAAAUCAAAUAAAUUUUAUAUCAAUUUUUUGUACUUUACCAAUGUUACUGGCAGCAAGAUUUUUCUACUCGAAUCCCUAUUUAUUGUCUUAAAUAGCUUCCUGCAUCCACCAUUUUGCACAUGGUUUUUCUAUUUUAUACCAAAGCUCUUUAGAAUAGUUAAACAUUCAACAAUAGUUCUAAAGAUAUUAGUUUAGAGACAAAUAAUUAUCUUGAGAUAGUAAAAAAAAUUGAAAUAAUUAAAUAUAUUAUUUACUUGAAAUAAUAUUAUUUUUCAUUAUUUAAAUUAUUUGAAAAAAAAACUUAUUCAAGUUUAUCACGUAAAAAGAUCUACCAAUUAUAAAUUCUGAUUAGUUGAACCAUAAGACAAUUGUUAUAGGUAGUAUCCUUCCAAGAGACAAUUAUCACAUGUUCAAACUCUAGUCAAUAUGAUUUAUAAAAUUUUAAAAAUAUUAAAAUAUCUAAUAUAUAUUUGAAAAUUAUGUAAAUUUUUAUAUUUUACAUAGUUUUUUUUGUAUUUUUCUGAUUUUAGAUUUUUUCUAUUUUUAAAUAAUUUUGAUAAUUUUGUAAUUUUUCUUUUAUAAUUUUUGUCAUUUUUGAAGAUUUUUUAAGGGUUUUUGUUGAUGAUGUCAUUAUGAUAGCAUCAUAUGACAUGUGGUAGUAUAUGAUUUGUUGAAUAUCCCAACGAAUUUUUUAUUGUCCAAUGAACUAAACUGAAAAUUUUUAAUAACAUUAGGGACUGAAGUGGAUAAAAAUAUUUUAAAAACUAAAGUUAAAAAAGUGAUAUACUUCAGGGACACAGCAUUAACAUUUUCUAAAAGAUGGAAGUGUUUUUGUUUUUUAAGUGAAUAUAAUUUUUUUGAGUGAAUAUAGUUUUGUGAGGGAGUAGUAAUAUUAUUAUUAGAGACAAGGCAUUUGAUUUUUAUAUAACUUUUUAAUUAAGUCAAUAUCACUCAUUGAGUAAAACCCAACAUAUUAAGCACAUUACUGUACUAAUUUAGAUUAAUAGGAAUGAUCAAAUUUACAAUUAAGGAUUAUAAAUUUAUUUAAUUCCAAUCUUCUACCUUCCUUUAAAUUAUAAGAAUGGUUUUGCCUUAUAUUUUCUUCAAAUUGAGAUUUAAUUUAUAAUUUUAAAUUUUUGAUAUAAUUUAGUUUCUCAAUUUUAUAAUGCAAUUAAUUAGUUUAAAUACUUUAUUUUAAUCAAAAUAAUUAUGUUAAUUUUAAAGAAUUGUUAUCACCGUUAAAAUUCUUUACUAACAAUUAUUUAAAAUUAAGUUCUAUCAUGCUUUUGUUUUAGCUUACACAUAGAUGUUUACAAUAUAAAAUUCUUUAUAAUUUUCAAUACAUAUUACUUAAAUAAAUAGAAAAUAGAGUUUUAAUAAUGCACAACCAAAUAAUUUUUAUUGAUGUUAUAUUAUUUUGAUUUCUUAGACUUGUACAUAGGGAAAAUAAAGGACUAUUGCCAUUAAUUAAUCGCUUUAAAACAAUUUUAAUGAGCUCUAGUCAUGCAAGAUUACCAUUAAAUUGAAUACUCAUAUAGAAGGAUUUAAUAUUUUUGUUUCUCAAAUCACAACUAAUAAUUAUUCAUAAUUUCUUAUUCAGUGUCAUUUUUAAGAUUGAUUAGAUGACAAAUUUUCAUGCCAAAGUUUUAUUUUUAUUUGAUUUAAAUUUUUACAAUAUUUAAAAAAUUAUAUAUUUUGUAAAUUUGAUAUUCAAUCAAUUUUAGAUUUAAAAAGUAAUGAUGAUUUUAACCCAAGGCCUGAGCUAAGAAUAGUUAUAGUUAAAUAAAAUACUGGUAUGAAAUAGUUUAAUUAUUUGAUCACAUUUUUCCAUGCCAAAAUUUUAUUUUUAUUUUUGAUUUAAAAUUUUACAAUUUUUAUAUUGUGAAUUUGGUGUGCAAUGAAUAUGUGUACUAAAAGAUGUAAAUUUACAGGUAAUUUACCACCCAUCACCAGUGCUCCAAAGCUUGAGAUUCUUUUAUUGUGGGGAAAUAAACUUGGCGGAAACAUUCUCAAUUCUAUCUCCAAUGCUUCCAUGCUUAAGAAACUAGACUUGGCAGAUAACUUAUUCUCUGGCCCAAUCCCUAAAACAUUUGACAACUUAAGACACCUUGAAUGGUUCCAAAUUUCAAACAAUAAUUUGAUCAAAGGACCUGCUACUGAUCAUGAGUGGACCUUUCUUUCUUCUUUGGCAAAUUGCAAGCAUUUGAGAAUAAUAGAUGUUUCAAGAAAUCCAUUGAGUGACGUUCUUCCAACUUAUAUUGGGAACCUUUCAAAAUCCCUUCAAUACUUUUAUGCCUCUAAUUGUGAGAUUACAGACAAUAUUCCUAUGUAAAUAGGUAGCUUAAGCAACCUAUUGCUUUUACAACUUGGCUAUAAUAAAUUAAGCUUUAUUCCGACACCGAUAGGACUGCAAAAUUUGCAAGGUUUACAACUUUCCUCUAAUAAAUUAGAGGGGCCUAUAUCAGAAAGCCUUUGUGGUUUGGAGAGAUUAUACUACUUGUAUUUAAGGCUGAUUAGGUUGCAUGGAUCCAUACCCUCUUGUAUGGGUAAUAUUUCUUCUUUGAGAUAUCUUUACUUAGAUUCCAACACAUUGAGUUCUACAAUACCCUCAACUUUGUGGAAUCUUAAAGAUAUCUUAGAAAUAGAUUUAUCAUCAAAUUAUCUUUACAAUUCACAUGCUAUAUUGAUGUUGGAGAUUUGAGGAGUCUACUAAAACUAAAUUUACCAAGGAAUCUUCUCACGGGCAAUAUCUUAUCCACAUUUAGGGGUCUUCAAACUUUGAUUUCAAUAGAUUUAUUAAAUAAUAUACUACAUGGUCAUAUCCCUGGAUCAUUAGGUGGUUUGAUUAGUUUGGAAUUCUUGAAUUUAUGCAAUAACAAUCUCUCUGGAGCCAUUCCCAAAUCUUUGGAAAAGCUUUUAGAUCUCAAGUAUUUUAUUGUGCCUUUCAAUAGACUUGAAGAGGAAAUUCCCACCGAGGGAUGUUUUUCAAACUUCUCUAGCACAUCAUUCACGAAGAAUUUUGCACUUUGUGGUCCACCUAGAUUGCUACUCCCACCUUGCAAAAACGACAUCCAAGAAAACUCCCAAAUGAAUAUAUUGCAUGCUUUAAGGUAUGGUUUACCAACAAUUGGUAUCGUCGUAGUACUAAUAGUCUUAACUAUUAUGUACAGAAGAUGCCAAAGUAGGAGUACAACUCUACCAAUUAAGGAUGAUUUGUUGUCUUUGAAAACGCUGAGAAGAAUUUCACAUGCUGAACUUUCACAAGAAACUAAUGGAUUUGAGGAAAACAAUAUGCUUGGUUCAAGGAGUUUUGGAUAUGUAUAUAAAGAGAAGCUUUCAGAUGGAAUGGAAGUUGCAAUAAAAAUUUUCAAUUUGCAAACAGAAGAAGCAUUUAGGAGUUUUGACAUUGAAUGCGAUGCUAUGCGUAAUAUAGAUCAUUGUAAUAUUGUGAAGGUCACUACUUGCUGCUCAAGUGUUGACUUCAAAGCCUUGGUGCUUGAUUACAUGUCUAAUGGAAAUAUUGAGAAAUGGUUAUAUUAUUAAAACUAUUUCCUUGAUAUCAUACAAAGGGUUGACAAGAUGAUAGAUGUUGCGUCAGCGAUAGAACAUCUCCACAACGGGCAUCCAACACCUAUAAUUCAUUGUGACUUAAAACCAAGCAAUAUUUUACUAGAUGAAGACAUAGUUGCACAUGUGGGAGAUUUUGGCGUUGCCAAAUUGUUGGGAGAAUGUGAUGUAAUGAAGCAGACCAUGACUAUUGCAACAAUCGGGUAUACGGCACCAGGUGAAUUUUUUUAUUUGUGUAUUAUUAUUUUUCUAAUAUGGAUUUUAUAUUUUGUUUGGAUAUAUAUUUGAAUAAUCAUUUUAGAAACAAUUAAAGAUUAACGAUGCUCUAAUUAUACUUGAAAUGCAAAAUUUGGAUCAACAGGAAUUGUUUCUAUAAAGUGUGACAUCUAUAGUUAUGAGAUUGUCCUUAUACAAACUUUCACAAAGAAAAAGUCAACUGAUAAUUUUUUGCUGAAGAAGUGACUAUAAAGCAUUGGAUGGAAAGUUCAUUGCCAAAGGAGCAUGAAAAUCCCCAAAACCCUAAAUUCUUUCCUUCUAGCAAUGAAGAGAUGGUGAGAGGAAAGGAAAAAAAAUCACGUCAAAUGAAAAGAAAAGAAAAAGAAAUUGAACAAAAUUAAAUUUAUGUGGAAAUUGUUUUAAUACUUUUAAUUUGAGUUGGAAAAGGUUGAUGAUGUGGCAUAAAAUAAUUGGAUAGGACCAUAUUUGAGGUAGUGGGAAAGGUCCAAUAUGGAAUAAUUUUUCUAUGUUAUCAAAUAGAUGAAUGAUAGUAAUUGGGAUCAAACUAAUGAUUUGGAUGAUGUUAAUGGUUAAUUUGGUGCAGAGGGUGGAAAAGAAACAAAUAAUUCAUUAUAUGUAAUAUAUAGUAAGUUUCAUACAUAAAAGUUUCAUACAAGGUUCAAAGGCAACUAAAUGACUUGUAAGUUAGUUGAACUUCUUUGAAAGGCGCAAAGGCAAUUGAACAUUUACAAAAUAGUCUCUAAAUACUGUAGACACAAAUCAAAUCAUGGGAGCAUUACAAUUGGUUAAAUUGAGCACUGGCAGAAAUUCCAUCAUAGGAAAUAUUGGCAAAAUCGUCUAUUGAAUUAGAAAAACAACAUAAUCCAUGAAACAUAGAUAGCCCAAUACAAACAUCAUCGAGAAAAAAAAGUCUUUUUGUUUUAUAGCACAUGAUAGUAAAGCAUGCGAAGUUUCAUUCUUCUUAUUGGCCUCCUUUAGUUUUCCUUGAUCAACAACCACUAGCCAAAAACACAAUUAGAUUAGAUUAUAAAUGAAACAUUCAAUUAUGAUAAUUUAAAUAGAAAACACCCUAAAUAACUCUAAAUAAAUGAAAAGUAGCAAAUUACUUGGUGAGGCAAGCUAGCUCAAUUAAGAGCACCAUUGUGUUAGACUUGUCUAUGCAUUAAACAAUCUAAAAGAAAAUGAAGAAAAAGACUUAGAAAACACUUGAAAAUUGACAAAAUUUUUAUGCCAUUGACUGGUUAAACUAUGAUCACCCAUAACAGAUCUUGUAUUUGAGUUUUUGUUGAGGGAGAUCAAGUCCUUCAAGAAAAGUUUUCUAAGUGCUGUCUGUUAGGUAAUCGCUGCUAUUCUCAACAAAAGAUAUUGUCCCCAUGUCAAGAUUUUAUCCUCAGCCUUCAUGGAAUAAUCAUGGAGAUUACAUGUGCAAGGAUUCAAACCACCAACCAAUACAUAUGUAGCAUUUACCUUGGAACCAUCUCCGUGAAUCCACAAGGUUCUUCACGGAAUCAAGAGACAAAACCCCAACACAAGAAUAAUACCAUCUAUUGAGGGGUCCUUUAACACAACAAAUGAAAUUCAUACAUUUUUUUAAUCAAAGUAAAUAUCAUAUUUAAUUGGGGAAAAGCAACAAAAAAAUCCAACAAAAAAAUCCUUAGCAAAAGAUUAAAACACAUUUACAUCGUAAAUGACAUAAGAAACUCCAAUCUAACAAAGAAAAUAACUUGAUGCUCCAAAGCUACCAUAUACUGUAAUUCAUGGGAAGGUCUGAUGCUCAUUUUAUUGGUUUCCAUCUUGAUUUUGCAAAAGAAGUUUGAAUUCUGAAGAGAGCAAAUGAUUGAGCGAAAGAAAAAAAAUUAGUUUAUUAAUUUUCACAAUUUAUAAGACAAACCUUAUGGAGACAAAUAAUGACAUAUUAGAUAUUUGUGAUUAAAAUUCUAGAAUAGAUUAAAAAUGUUGAAUUAAUGAUAAAAUUAAUAGUGAAUUAAUAACAACAAGCGUACUGAUUACUUAGCUUCUUUGUUAAACAUGUUCGAUGUUGUUUAACAGCCUUCGUUUGAUUUUCUUUAGCUCAACGACAAAAUCUUUCAUAUCUUUUCUUUCUUCUGGUAACUCAGCUGAACAAUUCAAAGCCAACUCCAUGAUGGAUGAAAUACAAUUUGCUUUAACAACAAUGUACUCAUCCUCUCUUCUUAGUAAAUCAACAUCUGCAAUUUCUAUCGCUCCUUUAGGCAAUGAACUUUCCAUCCAAUGCCUUAUAGUCACUUCUUCAGCAAAAAAAAUUAUCAGUUGGCUUUUUCUUUGUAAAAGUUUCUAUAAGGAUGCUCCCAUAACUAUAGACGUCACAUUUUAUACAAACAAUUCCUGUUGAUCCAAAUUCUGCAUUUCAAGUAUAAUUAGAACAUCAUCAAUCCUUAAUUAUUUCUAAAAUGCUUAUUCAAAUAUAUAUCAAUAUACGCAUGAAACAAAAGUAUAAAAUGCAAAUUAGGAAAAUAAUCAUACAAAAAAAAAAUUCACCUGGUGCCAUAUAUCCGAUAGUUGCAAGAGUCAUGGUUUGCUUCAUUACAUCACCUUCUCCCAACAAUUUGGCAACAACAAAAUCUCCCACAUGUGCAACCAUGUCUUUAUCUAGUAAAAUAUUGCUUGGUUUUAAGUCGCAAUGAAUUAUAGAUGUUGGAUGUCCAUUGUGGAAAUGUUCUACAGCUACCGCAACAUCUAUCAUUAUGUCGACCCUUUGUAUGAUAUCAAGGAAACAAAUUUCGGAAUGUAACCAUUUCUCAAGGUUUCCAUUAGACAUGUAAUCAAGCACCAAGGCUUUAAAGUCAACACUUGAGCAGCAAGUAAUGACCUUCACAAUAUUACGAUGAACUAUAUUACGCAUAGCAUCACAUUCAAUGUCAAUACUCCUAAAUGCUCCCUCUGUUUGCAAAUUAAAAACUUUUAUUGCAACUUCCAUUCCAUCUGAAAGCCUCUCUUUAUAUACAUAUCCAAAACUCCUUGAACCAAGCAUAUUGUUUUCCUCAAAUCCAUUAGUUACUUGUGAAAGUUCAGCAUGUGAAAUUCUUCUCAGCGUUUUCAAAGACAACAAAUCAUCCUUAAUUGGUAGAGUUGUACUCCUACUUUGGCAUCUUCUAUACAUAAUAGUUAAGACUAUUGGUAAUACGACAAUACCAAUUGUUGGUAAACCAUACCUUAAAGCAUGCAAUAUAUUCAUUUGGGACUAGCAAUCUCGGUGGACCACAAAGUGCAAAAUUCUUCAUGAAUGAUGUGCUAGAAAAGUUUAAAAAACAUGCUUCGGUGGGAAUUUCCCCUUCAAGGCUAUUGAAAGACACAAUAAAAUACUUUAGAUCUAACAGCUUUUCCAAAGAUUUGGUAAUGGCUCCAGAGAGAUUGUUAUUGCAUAAAUUCAAGAAUUCUAAAUUAACUAAUCAAACCACCUAAUGAUCCAGGGAUAUGACCAUGUAGUUUAGUACUUAAUAAAUCUAAUGAAAUCAAAGUUUGAAGACUCCCAAAUGUGGAUAAGAUAUCGCCUGUGAGAAUAUUCCUUGAUAAAUUUAGUUUCAAUAAACUCCUCAAAUUUCCAACAUCAAUAACAUGUGAAUUGUGAAGAUGGUUUGAUGAUAAAUCUAUUUCUAAGAUAUCUUUAAGAUUCCACAAAGUUGAGGGUGUUGCAAAACUCAAUUUGUUGGAAUUUAAGUAAAGAUAUCUCAAAGAAGUAAUAUAACCCAAACAAGAGGGUAUGGAUCCAUGCAAGUUAUUCAACCCUAAAUACAUCUCGUAUAGUCUUUCCAAAUCACAAAGGCUUUUUGAGAUAGGUCCUCCUAAUUUAUUCGAGUGAAAAGUUAGACUUUGGAGAUUUCUCAUUCCUCUUAUUGAUGCUGGAAUAAAUCCACUUAAUUGAUUAUACCCAAGUUGUAAAAGCAAUAGGUUGUUUAAGUUACCUAUUUCCAUAGGAAUAUUGCCUUUAGGCUCACAAUUAUUGGCAAAAAAGUAUUGAAGGGGUUUUGAAAGGUUCCCGAUAUAAGUAGGAAGAACAUCACUCAAUGGAUUUCCUGAAACAACUAUUCUUCUCAAAUGCCUGCAAUUUGCCAAAGAAGAAAGAAAGGUCCACUCAUGAUCAAUAGCAGAUCCUGUGUGUUAGUCAUAUAGUUUAAUUUAAUUUUAGUUAGUUAGUUAGCAGUUAUGUUUCUAUUAUUUUCUUGCUGUUAUUUCGUUUCCAAUUUGUAUAUAACAACACCUUUACAUCAAAUAUAACUUAAGCAGUUUUCUUUUACUCUUAUUCUACAUGGUAUCAGAUGUAAAAUUCUUCUAUUCUAUUGCAUUUUCUUGCAGUUAUAAUUUUCCUACACUUUUUUGCUUCCCAAACACUCUGUCUCUUUGAUUUUUUUCCCUACGAUGUCACUCCAUGAUCCUAUGCUACCUUCUUGUCCUUAUUAUCUUCAUCCCAAUGAAAAUCCAGCCUUAGUUCUUGUUUCUCCUGUCCUAUCUAGCUCGAAUUAUCAUUCUUGGUCUCGAGCAAUGACAAUGGCGCUUUUAUCCAAGAACAAGCUUCAGGUCGUUGAUGGCACCAUCACAGUUCUGCUCCGAACAGAUCCUCUUUAUUUAGCCUGGGAACGGUGUAAUACUAUGGUGCUUUCUUGGCUGCAUCACUCUAUCUCGCCUUCGAUCAUGAACAGUAUUCUUUGGCUCGAUUUUGCUAUACUGUUUGGUGUGAUCUUCGUGAACGUUUUUCUCAAGGAGAUGUUUUUCGCAUUUCUAAUCUCCAAGAAGAGAUCAAUGCUUUCAAGCAAGAUGAUCACUCGGUCACUGAUUACUUUACUGAGUUGAAGAUUAUCUGGGAUGAGUUGAUGAAUUUUCGACUGAUUCUCGUCUGUUCUUGUCCAACAUCUUGUUCUUGUGGUGUUUUUGCUACUCUUCAAAAAUAUCAUGAUAAUGAUUAUGUUAUUCGAUUUCUUAGAGGCCUUCAUGAUCGUUUUGCUGCUAUCCACUCUCAAAUUAUGCUCAUUGAUCCGUUGCCUCCAAUCAAUAAAGCUUUUUCUUUGGUCAUUCAACAGGAACGCCAUCUUACUACUAGAUCUUCUCAAGUGUUUGUUAGUAGCACACUGCGCCAACACUUUUCUUCCAAGAAAUCUCAGGCAAAAUCGUUUCCUGACUCAUGGUAGUGCACCUUUCGUGGUAAAUCCAGGCAUACUGUUGAUACCUGCUAUGAGGAACAUGGUUAUCCACCUGGUUAUAAGUCUUGAGGUCGGGUUUCUUGUGCACACACAGUGCUUAAUGCAGGUGCUGCACAACCCUUGAACUCUUCACAGUCUAUUGCUAUCUUGCCAUCUGAUUCUUCUGUUACUUUGACACAAGACCAGUUACAACAGCUGCUUGCAUUACUUCCAUCUUCCAACUCUCCCUCCCCACCUCAUGUUACCAACACUGCCUCUUCCUUACAUCAAAUGCCUUCUACAUCCUCAGGUAACCUCUUUUCCUUUCAAUCCCACCAUUGGAUCAUAGACAUUGGUGCGACUGAUCACAUUACACACUCUUUAUCCUUCUUUUCCUCUUUUCAUUCAAUUAAACCUGUAUAUAUCACUCUUCCAAAUGGCACCAAAGUCUGUGCUCGAAUUUUUGAUACAGUCAUUUUCAGUGAUAGCCUUUAUAUUACAAAUGUUCUUUAUGUUCCUUAAUUUACUUUAAACCUCUUAUCUGUCACUAAACUUACUGCUACAUUACCUUGUUCAUUUACUUUUCACAAAACUUGUUGCUCCUUACAGGCCCUUCCCUCUUUGAAGAUGAUUGGUACAGCUAAAUUUUUUCAUGGUCUUUAUAUUUUGGAAUCCCCAGCUCAAACCUUCUCCAUUCCCGUUCCCACUACCUUGUCAGCUACCACCCCUUCAUGUUCCUUUUGGCAUCAUCAUCUCGGUCACCUUUCUGAUUCUAGAUUGAAGCUACUUUCCCCUUACAUUCCUUCUUUGUCCAUGACAAACAAUGCAAAUUGUAUAGCAUGUCAUCUGGCAAAGCAAAAGAAAAUACAUUUUCCUGUAAGCACUUCUGUUUCCAAUAAAAUAUUUGAACUUGUUCAUAUUGAUAUUUGGGGCCCGACUGAAGUUGUUUCUAUCACUGGUCAUCGUUAUUUUUUAACCAUUGUUGAUGAUUUCAGUAAUUUUACUUGGAUCAUUCUAUUGAAAACAAAAUCUGAAGUUCAUACUCAUAUUCAGAAUUUUUUCACACUUAUUGAAACUCAAUUUUCCUCCAAAAUUAAAGUCAUUCGAACUGAUAAUGGCUGUGAGUUUGUUAUUCCAGCUUUUUAUGCUUCUAAAGGAAUUAUUCUUCAAACCUCAUGUGUUGAAACUCCACAACAAAACAGUCUUGUUAAACGUAAGCACCAACACAUUCUUAAUGUGUCACGGGCUCUCUUAUUUCAUUCUGCUCUACUUAAGCAUUUUUGGGGACAUGUUGUUCUUCAUUCUAUUUUUCUUAUUAAUCGCACCCCAACUCCUCUUUCGACAAACUAUGCCAAACUAAACCUAAUUUUCAGCAUGUACGUGUCUUUGGUUGUCUUUGUUUUGCUACAACCCUUACUGCUCAUCGUCACAAAUUUGAUCCUUGAGCACGUGAGUGUGUUUUUCUUGGAUUUCCACCACAUGUUAAAGGUUAUAUUCUUUUUGACCUGUCAUCUCAUGCCAUCUUUGUCUCAAGAAAUGUCAUCUUUCGGGAGCCAGUCUUUCCUUUUUCUCAUCCACCAUCUCCUUCUUCCACCCCACAAUUGACCUUUGACCCCUCCAUUACUUAUGAUUUGCCACCUCAACCACAGGUCCCACCUCUUGCUCCCUUCGUCUUAGGAAACCACCUUCUUAUUUAGACCAAUAUCAUUAUUUUUUAAGCAAGGCUGCUACCAAUCAUCCUCGAUGCCCCACACCCUUUACUCUUGCCAUUAAUGCUUUUUCUAUACCUACUACAUAUUUACAAGCUAGUAAAAUUUCCCAUUGGCGAGAAGCAAUGCAAGCUAAAAUUUCUACUCUUGAACAAAAUAACACCUGGAUCAUUAUGGACUUACCUCCAGGCAAGACUGCAAUCGGUUGUAAAUGGGUUUAUCGAGUGAAAUACCGAGCUAAUGGUUCUAUUGAACGUUACAAGGCUCGUUUGGUUGCUAAGGGGUUCACACAAAUCGAGGGUGUCGAUUAUUUUGAUAAUUUUUCCCUGUCGUAAAGCUUACCACCGUUCGCUUGUUGCUUGCUAUUGCUGCUUCUAAAAAUUGGUUUUUGCACCACCUUGAUGUUAACAAUGUGUUUUUGCAUGGAGAUUUGAUUGAAGAGGUUUAUAUGCUUCUACUUCCUGGUUUUGAUUCAUCAACUCUCAAUAAGGUUUGUAAGUUGCAAAAAUCCUUAUAUGGUCUAAAGCAAGCAAGUUGACAGUGGUUUGAUAAACUCACAUCAGCUCUUACUUCUCUUGGUUAUAUUCAAUCCAGUUCUGAUUUCUCCUUGUUUGUUAAAAAGGAUGACAUUUAUUUUACUGCAUUAUUAGUUUAUGUUGAUGAUGUUCUUCUAGCUGGUGAUCAUUUCGAUGAAAUAUCAAGAGUUAAAGCCUUUUUGGAUUCUACAUUUAGCAUCAAAGACUUGGGUGAUCUAAAGUAUUUUCUUGGCCAUGAGGUUGCUCGCAGCUCUGCUAGUAUUCAUCUUUGUUAACAAAAAUAUGCCAUAGACAUACUGUUUGACUUUGGUUUCUCAGAUUGCAAGCCUGUUAAGACUCCAACGGCCACCAAAAUUCCUCGAGAUGCCUCUGCAGAUUUGCUUCCUAACAACACUCUUUUCAGGAAACUUAUUGGUCGCCUCUUGUAUCUGGUUUCCACUAGACCUGAUCUUGCUUUUGCAAUUCAACAGUUGAGUCAAUUCUUGGACUGACCUACAGUCAUUCAUCUCCAAGCUGCUCAUCGUGUUCUUCGCUAUCUGAAUGUGUGCCUUGAUUUUGGUCUUUUCUUUUCUGCUUCUUCAUCACCUGUACUGAAGGCUUUUAGUGAUUCUGACUGGGCUGGUUGUCCUCUCACACGCCGUUCUGUGACUGGUUAUUGCCUGUUUUAUGGUGAUUCCCUUGUUAGUUGGAAAGCCAAGAAGCAAAGCAGUGUGUCCCGUUCUUCCUUAGAAGCAGAAUAUCGUGCCCUUACCUCUACUGUUUGUGAAAUUCAGUGGCUUCGAUUUCUUUUAUGUGAUUUGCACUUGUCUAUUUCUGGUCCUACUGCCUUGUUUUGUGACAACAAUUCCGCUCUUCAGAUUGCUGCAAAUCCUACGUUUCAUGAAUGUACUAAACAUAUCGAAAUCGACUGUCAUCUUGUUCGUGAGAAGGUGCAGUCCAGUGUCGUUAAACUGCUUCCUUGUUCUUCCAAGGAUCAACUUGCUGAUAUCUUCACUAAAGCUCUUGCUGCUAUUCCUUUUCAGCUUAUAUUGUCCAAGUUGGGAUUGUUUCCCAUACACUCUCCAGCUUGAGGGGGGCUGUUAGUCAUAUAGUUUAAUUUAAUUUUAGUUAGUUAGUUAGCAGUUAUGUUUCUGUUAUUUUCUUGCUGUUAUUUCAUUUCUAAUUUGUAUAUAACAACACCUUGACAUCAAAUAUAAUUUGAGCAAUUUUCUUUUACUCUUAUUCUACAGUGAUCAAAUUAUUAUUUAUGAUUCGGAGCACUUCAAGGUGUCUUAAGUUGCCAAGCGUUUUAGGAAUUGGGCCAGAGAAUAAGUUAUCUUCCAAGGCUAGAUUCUUAAGCAUGGAAGCAUUGGAGAUAGAGCUGGUAAUGUUUCCGCUAAAUUUAUUUCCCCACAAUACAAGAUUCUCAAGUUUUGGAGCAUUGGUAAGGGUGGUAGAGUACCUGUAAAAUAGCAUCUUUUAAUAUACAUAGUUAUUGAAUACCGAAUUCACAAAAUAUAUAAUACAUUAAAAUACAUUUUUAAAAAUAAAAAUUGUAAAACAUUAAAUCAAAUAAAAAUAAAAUUUUGGCAUGGAAAAAUGUGAUCAAAUCAAUUAGUCCCUUUGUGAUUUGUAUAAACAAAAAAUAAAAUAAAACCAUUCCAUACCAGUAUUGUAUUUGAUCUAAUGAUAGGGUUGUAAGUUACUUGUAAAAAUUACAUGCUUUAGUAUAUAAAUUUGUACUCCAAACUAAAAAUGAACUCCUCACUAUUCUUAGCCUAAGCCUUGGGUUGAAAUCAUCAUUACUUUUUAGAUCUAAAAUUGAUUGAAUAUCAAAUUUGUAAAAUAUUGUAAAAUUUUGAAUCAAAUAAAAACAAAACUUUGGCAUGAAAAUGUGGCAUCUAAUCAAUUUUAAAAAUGACACUGACACUGAAUACGAAAUUAUGAAUACAAAUUAGUUAUGAUUUGGGAACCAAAAAUAUUAAAUUAUACUGUAUGAUUUGGUAUUAGUUAUUAUUUUAAAUAAUAUUGUUAAUUUUUAAUUACAUGAAGUAAAACUAUUGUAUGUUAAAUAUGGUUUUAAUUAUGUCUUGAAAUAUUAUUAUUAUAUUUCAACUACUCUAUAAUAUUUUAAUUAUGUUUAGCCAUUUGAAUAACAAACUAAAAAACUAAUUAAAAGCUAAUUACUUCUUUAAGUAUAAUGGAAAUUAAAAAUUUUAAAAAUAAAUCAAUUCAUAUAAAUUUUAAUGUUUAUUAUCAAAUUAAUACAUUUUAAUAGAUGAUAAAAUAUAUGAGCAAAAAAGAAGAAACAAAUUAAAGAGAAUGUUUUUGGAGUUUGGAAAAAAUUAAAGUGAAAAACAUACCUUCUAAUUUGUUGUCAUAUAGAUCUAUUUCUUCGAGCGUAGUUGAAUUAAAAACACUUUCCGUAAUCAGCCCACUGAAUUGAUUUGCUGCUAAGGCUCUGUUUGUUUCACUGAAAAUGGCUUACUUUUCUAAAAAAGCUAAUAUUUUCUGGUGUUUGAAUGAAUCUGUGUAAAAUAUUUUCUUUUGUUUGGCAGGUUCUUUAAAAAUAUUUCAUAAAAGUUGUUUUCAAUUAAACAAACAUACAUUUGAGAUUUUUUUUUAUUUUUCAUUGUUUAAUUGAGUUUAUUUUAUAUCUAUAAUUUUAUAUUUUACAUUGUUUUACAUAUAUUAAAAAUAUUUUGUUAAAUUUAGGUUUAUUGUAAUGAUUAGUUUUUAGUUACAUGACUACCAACUGAGUAUUUUUUUUAUUUAAAAAUGUGACAUUAACAAAAUUGACAAAAAAAAUCAACAAUGUCAGUAGUUGGACUUGAUUUUCAAAUCUGGAAAGUAGAGGGAUUAAAUUUUUGAAAAUAAAAGUACAGAAACUAAAUUGCAAAUUUUUGAAGAGUAUAUAGACUUAUGACAUAUUUUAACAUUUAUACUACAAAACAUUUAUUAUUAAUAUAUUUAUAAUUGUAAUAAAUUUUUGGUAUUAAAAUAUUAAUAUUGAUAUUUUUAUUGAUAUAUGAAUAAUAUUUUUUAAAAUUAUUAUUUUUAAAAUUUACUAUUAAAAUGAAAUUUAAAUAUUAAAUAAUUUAUUAAAAAUAAUAAAUUAGACUAAUUAUAUUAAUAAUUUAUUAUAUGACUAAAUAUAAAUAAUUGAAUACUUAUGUUUAAUAAUAUUAAAAAUAUAAUAUUUUAUAUUAAUAUUUUAAAUAUUUUAAAUAUUUUUAAAAAUAAAAAAUUUAUUAUCAAUACAAUAAUAUUAAACUUGGUUUAAGUUAAUUUUUAUAUAAAAGUAAAAUUAUCUAUUGAGGAGCUCUUUUUCAGAAAAUGACUUACGCUUUUCAAAGGGUAAGUCAUUUUACAAGGAAAAAGGCUUAUUUUCCGUUGACCUGUAAGUCAUUUUCCGUUGACCAAGCUGUUUUCUGUGAAACAAACACAGGAAAAUGCAGAAAAUAUUUUCCGUAAAACCUUUUACAUGAAAACAAACGGACCCUAAAUCCAAAUUCUAAAGCUUGUAACAUUCACUUACACUUGAUGGAAUAUUACCAGAUAAUUCAUUUGUAUCCAAGUAAAGCCCUUCAAACUUGGGAAGAUGUUGACACAUAUCAUUAGGUAAACUACCUAAUAGGCUAUUGCUGGAGAGAUCAAUAGUCUUCAGAGAAGAAACAUUGAAGAUAGAAGACGGAAUUUGACCUGUAAGGUAUUUAAUUACUGUAAUAAUAAGCAUUUUCAAACAUUACUAAUAUAAACAGUUCAUGGAAGUAAGAAAGUUUGCAUAAUAAAACCAAAUUGUUUAAAAAAUUAAAACAAUAUUUUGAUUAAUCGAUAAAUUUAAGAUUUUAUGUAUUGAAGUGGCUUCAAAUCUCACUAUUAUUUUUUUGUUUUGUUUUGUUUUGUUUUUUAAAUAAAAAUACUAAAGUACCUCAAAUAGUAUAACUUAUUUUAAAUACGAAAAGAUAUUUUUGAAAUUUCUCUAAUUGAGUUGGUGCUCAUUGACUCGUAACACCAACUUAAUUAGAUACUUAAAUAACAAUUAGUUAUUCACAUUCACCAAAAAAAGUAAAAAAAAAUGUUACUUUAGUUUCAAAUAACAAAUUUUAAUUAUUUAUAUAACAAAAAACUGUAUAAAUUUGAUAAAUAAUAUAUUUAUAUAAUCUAAUCUAUCAUAUUUAUAUUAAUUAUAUAUCAUUUACAAACUUUUAACAUAAAUUUAUUGACUAUUAAGAAAAGAAAAAAUGAAAUGAAAUAAUGAAUAAUUUAAUUGACAAUAUAUCAAUUUUUAUAUUUUCUACCUAUGCUUUAAUGAUGAUCGAUUUUUUUUUAUUAUCACUAUUUUUGAAUUAAAAGAAUUAUUAAUAUAAUUUAAUUAUAUUUUGAAUAAUGUUACUCUUUUUUAAUUACAUGAUGUAAAAUCAUAUUAUAUAUUAAAGAGGGUACAUAUGCUUUAAUUAUAGCUUGAAAUUUUAUUAUUACAUUUGAGUUAUUAAUAAAUUAAUAUAUUUUAAUUAUAUUCAACUAUUUCAAUAACUAAUUAGAAUAAUUUUAAAAAACAUUAUUUAAAAGCUAUGUAUAUAAAUGUAUAUGUAUAUAAAUAUAUUUUCAAUGUUGGUUUCUUUUCUUCCACACACAAAGUAUUUCUAAUGUUUUUUUUUUUAUAACUUUUACUUAUAUAAAAUAGAUUAGUUAAUACAAUAAAAAAUUAAUUACUCUUUUUUAAGCUUAAUGGAAAUUAAAAUAAAUAAAUUCAUAUAAAUCUUAUUGUUUAUUAUCAAAUUAAUAGAUGGUAAAGUAUAUGGCAAAAAGAAAAGGAAGAAUUAAAUUCAAUAGAAUGUUUUUGGACUUGUGGAAAAUUUUAAAGUGAAAAACAUACCUUCUAAAUUGUUGUCAAAUAGAUAUAUUUCUUCGAGCAUAGUUGAAUUAAAAAGGGUAAACUACAAAAAUAGUCACUUUUGUUUGCCUCAAGUUACAUUUUAGUCACUUACGUUUGAAAUGUUACGUUUUAGUCACUUAUGUUAUUAUUUUGUUACGAAGUGAUCACUCUUCCGUUAAGUUCCGUUAUCUUCCAAACGGUAAUCCUAUGUGGCAAUCCAACUAGAUUUUAAGUGUCAACUUAAAUUUCCUAAUAGAAUGAGAAUAAAUUUUUAAUUAAAUAAAUUUAAUUAAUUAAAAAUUUUAAACCCUAAAUCUUAAUUAAAAAACCCAUCUCCCUUUUUUUAGUUUUUUUUUCAGUUGACUAAGAAAACAGUCACGUCUUUGAGCAGGCCUCAGUAAUCAUCAAUAGCUUGACUCCAUAUAUUUAAGAACAUAAAGCUUCUGCCUAAAGAUAAAAGGAAAAAGAAGGAAAACCCCACACCAAAUUUCUCUGCAUUUUAUUUUUUGCUUCCACUUUACCCCAUUGAAGUGGACAUGUUGGCGACCUUAUGGAUGGAGGAGCUUUCACCAACCAAGAGUAAAUAGCUCUACCAAACAGCAGCAACAACAGUACCACCAGUUGAAGCUUUGUAUGCAUGCGCCAAAGCUAAAAGCUAAGAGCUUUUGGAUUUCAAAAUCUUUUAGAAGCUUGUGUUACAAAGCUAUAGAGUCCAAUGUGUAUUACUCAUAGAGGUUAGAGUAUAGUGGUAUGAUAGUAAAUCACUCUGUGUUUUGUCCUUCACCUAGUCCUUUUGAAGAACAGCAAACUGAAAUGGAGGGUUUGGUUGAGAAAGAAGGACUCUUUAAAGAGAAAAAUGAAAGCUUUAGUGAGAAUGGGGUUCAAAUGGGAACAUUGCCGAGUUGCUUGAAGACAAGGGUAGGGAAAGUAGUUCAAGUUCUGAUUUUUUAACAUCUGAAACAACCGGGCAUGAGGAGGAACACACAGUCACAGUAGUUCCGAGGAAGGGUAUGCUGAAAAAGAAAACUAAAAAAAAAGGGAGAUGAAUGGUUUUUUAAUUAAGAUUUAGGGUUUAAAAUUUUUAAUUAAUUAAAUUUAUUUAAUUAAAAAUCUAUUCUCAUUCUAUUAGGAAAUUUAAGUUGACACUUAAAAUCUAGUUGGACUGCCAUGUAGGAUUACCGUUAGGAAGAUAACGGAACUUAACGGAAGAGUGAUCACUUCGUAACAAAAUAAUAACAUAAGUGACUAAAACGUAGCAUUUCAAACAUAAGUGACUAAAAUGUACUUGAGAUAAACAAAAGUGACUAUUUUUGUAGUUUACCCAAUUAAAAAUACGUUUUGGAAUCAGCCCACUGAAUUGAGUUGUUACUAAAUUCAAAACCUGAAGCUUGUUACAUUCACCUAUGGAAAAAAUACUUUAUGGAAAUCUGACCUGCACACAUACUUAACAUAAGUCAAAGAGGUUUUCUUUUCUAUAAUUUGGAGAUGUUAUAUUUUAAUGUAUUUAAUCAUAUUUUUUCAUCAAAUUAACUAUUUUGAUUUUAAUGAAAUAAAAAGCUCUUACUUUUUUUUAUAAAAAAAAACUUUAAACUAAAGAAGCCAAAGAAAUUUAGUACCUUCUAGAUUAUUAAACCCCACAUAUAAAUGUCUAAGUCGUGUCAGGUUUCCAAUACUUCUUGGAAUGAUCCAUGUGAAUUGAUUAAUGGACAAUGACAAAAUUUGAAGGUUGUUGCAUUUGCCUAUACUUAAUGGAAUGUUACCAGAUAAUUCAUUCAAACUCAAGUGAAGUCCUUCAAGCUUAGGAAUUAUGUUGACACAUAUCAUCAGGUAAACUACCUGAUAGGAUUAAUAGCCUUCAGAGAAGAAAUGUUGAAGAUGGAAGAUGGAACCUGGACAGAUAAUUGAUUGAAUUCCAAGUUCAAGAUCUCUAGAUUGGACAUGUUAACAAGUGUUUGAUGGAUUGUGCCUAUAAAGUUAUUAUUUUUCAUUUCCAGCCUUUGGACUCUGCGUAAGUUCCCAAGCCAUGAUGGAAUUUCCCCAUUAAGACCAUUGUAGCUUAAUUGGAUGAUCCUCAAACGGUGCAAUUGGCCCAAUUCGGUGGGCAGAUGGCCAUAGAAAUUGUUGCUACUCAAGUCGAGAGAGAGUAGGAAUGAAAGUUUUCCAAGUUGUGAAGGGAUAGUACCUCGAAGAUUCAUGUUUGUAAGAUUCAAAGCUACAACUCUUUCAUGGAUGAUGCCACAAGAAACACCAAUCCACCUGCAAACAGAGCUAUAGGCUAUCCAAUUGUUUUCCAAGAUAUUGUGAGGAUCGAUUAUUCGAUCCUUAAACUCGAGGAAUGCAAACUAAUCGGUGGUGAGAUUCCUGGCUGUCAUAGCCAAACAAAGUACGGAACAUGGUACGAAUAGAGCUAAAAGAAGAUGAAAGCAAGUGGUGUAGUUUAUGAUUGCAAGACGGAAUAAGGGAAGAAAAUAAAAGAGUAGGAAAAGGGAAAUUGAAAUGAUAAAAUAGUUGGAUGAUGAAGAAAAGCCCAGAGAGCCUGCUUUAAUAUGUUUCAACCCUCCCACACUUCUCCUAAUUAAAUUCACUCGGGUAGGGUUACAACAUUAAUUUUCAAAAUAAAUGUCAAGUCUUCUUUUAAAACACAUACAAAGAAGCGAAUUUUCUCCAAAAUUUCUUCACAUUACUCCACAUAAUCCAUACAAAAUUAAUAAAAUAUAAUUUUUUAAUUACUAUAUAUUCUUUUAUUUUUUUCACAAUAAUAAGUUGGUUAAAUAUGCUAUUAAUCCCUGUACUUUUCAAAAUUUGAGAUUUAAUCCUUAUACUUUAAAAGUUAAAAAUUAAUUCAAAGAUAUUCUUUUUUCUAAACUGAGUGAAAUAAUAAGCUUUGUUUUCCUUUAACAAUUUUUUUUUGGUAUUUUCGCGGAUAUGAGGAGAUACUGAAAAUUAUUUUACUAUGAACUUUUAAUUCACUCAAAAAAAUAAAUGUUUUAUUUCAAGGGAACACAAUUCAACAUUAGAUUUCCCAUUUUUAUAUUUUAAAUUUUUUUGACAACUGCAUAAUUAACAAAGUAUCAAUUUUGAGCAUUGUGAGAGUUUUAUAACUUUCCAUAUGCGUAAUCGACUUUUGAACCCACUUUUUAUUUUAGAACUCAGGACAUACCUUAAAUUUUUAUUUUUAUAAGUUAUUUAUAAUCUAUUUGUAAAAAGUGAAUUUUUAAGUGACCGAUCACGCUUAACAAAAAUGAUUGGUGACGUUGAGUCCUUUUUGAUAAAAUCUUUUUGUUGGAAAGACCAAAGUUUUCAUUUUUUUUAAGAAGUCUUGAAUUUAAUUUUCUUUUUGAAUUUUUAUUUUUAACCAGAAAAUGGUCCUUACAGUUAUUAUUUAUUUUCCCCAUUUUUAAUGGUUUUUUUCAGGGAGAUGAAUAGUGGAAUGAUAAUUUUUGGUUAAGGUAAACUCAAUUAUGUAGUUGAUUCUAUUUUGAUCCUUCAAUUAUUAAUUUUUCGAUCUAAUUACAUAUUUUUUUAAAAAAAAUUAACACUCUCUUAGUUGCCUCUUAAUUGAGGGACAAAAAACUUAGACAUUUUCUAAUCACAUUUAAUUCAAUUGCGUUUAGGAUCACAUAAUUUUCUUUUAUUCUUUUUAAAUUAUAAACUGUUUCAAAAAUUCGGUCAAUAGCUUAAGUGAAAUUAUCCUUUUCGAAAUAUCAAUUUCACUUAAGCUAUUGACCGAAUUUUCAGCUAUUAGUCUUUUUUCCAAUCAAAUUGACUCUUAGGAGAAAUGCAAACUGCGCAAAAGAGUGUAAACAAAGAGGUUGAAUUUAAUUAGUUUCAAAAGACAUAAUUAAUAAUAAACUUAUUUAUUUAACAUGUUAAGAAACCUUUGCUUCAUUUUCUUGAACUCAACCACAACAUUCUUCCUAACUUUUCUUUUUUGAGGUAAUUCAGUUCAACAUUUCAAAAGAAAUUCCAUAAUCGAUGAAAUACAAUUUGCUUUAAUAAUAAAUCCGCAUCCUCGAAGUCUAGUAGUCCUUCAAACAAUGAGCUUUUCAACCACUGCCUUAUGGUGAUUUACAAUAUUAACUUCUUUUAUUAAAAUGUAGUGUGUGUGUGUGUGUGUUUUUUUAAUUAAAAUUCUUUAUAAACUUUUUUGUUUUCAAACAUAACUUUAUAUUUAUAUGUUGUUCAGUUGUAUAAUUUAAAUUAUGAGAUAUAUUUCUUUAAAAAAUAUUAAUGGAGGUGGGAACAUUUGCACUAUUAACGUUUUCUUUAGGAAGACCAUAAAAUAGAAAAUAAAUAGAAUUUUCUUGAAAAAAGAAAAUAAACAGAUUCUUUUAGUCCCAACUUAAAUGCUUUUCGAAACGAUAUUUAUUUGUUUUUUUUAUUAUUUGGGAGUAAAGCUCGUUCAUUCAGAAUUCAAUUGAGAGUUACGAAAUGAUUGUAAAAAUUUUAGUAAAAGACAAACGUGGAGAAAAUGAGGAUUAAUGCUGUAGCCUGUAAGAGAGAUGAUCUGAUAAAACUAAGACCAUUGGAAUAUUUAUAGGAAUUAUGUAACUAAUGUUGAAGGAAAUUUAAAAAUAAACUAAUGUUAUGUCUUAUGAAAUACCUUAAGUAGGCAAUAUGUAAGAUAUGGCAUUAAAAAAUAGAAAGGAACUAAUGCGCGUUACGAGAUUUAAAAGUCCUAGAAAUAAAUAAGAGGCAAAAAAGAUUAUAUAAUAAAAUGAAAACACAAACCUUAAUUGCAAUUGAGAAGGUAUUGAGUAGUUUAUGAUCUGAUGUGAUAUAUUUAUGUUAUUUGGUCAUUAAUAAAUACAUAUAGUGUUUCAGUAAUUACAAAUGAAAAAUUAUAAGUCACAAAAGUUAUGUUAUUUGGUUAUUAAUAAAUAGUCGUUAUUCAAGUAGAUAUCUAUUGAAUAAUUAUGUUUGUUGCUAAAAAUAUGACCAUCCAUUUCGGUAGUUAUGUCCCUAUGAAGAGACAUGAGGUCUCCUACAAAUAGGAGUGAAGUUUCAUUUGCAUAAAAACCCAAAAAUAUAGAAAAAGGAAGGUUUUUUUUUUCUGAUCUCGCACCAUUUUUUAUACUUCUAGAUUGUCCUAUAAAAAAUUACUGUAGAAAUUCUUUAUAGAAAUUGAUUUCCAUGCUAUGCUCCGCUUAGUGCUUAGCUGAUUGUUUUUGUCAGUGCCAAACGUAGACAUCCAUUGGGCUUUAUUGUAUCCUUGAGGUUCAUUUUCCAGUAACUCUUUUGCACACCAUAAUAUAGGUGGGGGAGACAUGCCUUAAAGCUUUUGUUAAUUUCUCUUAAGUUUAUUUUUAUCCCCACUCACCAACAAUUUCAAGGUUCUAAUUUCGCAAUUUAUGAGAAAUUAAAGAAGGCUUGUUUAUUCACCACGCAUUCACAUGCCGCUACAAGCAUGAUACUAUGAGGAUAGAUAUAGGCAAAUGUGGUUGCAUCAAGGCCAGAGAUCUUGUCAAAUUUUGUUUAAAAGAAAUAUUUAUCACAUUUAUUAUUUUACUCUUAUUGCAUGAUUUAGCUUCAAAUGUUAUGUGUUUAUUGAAUUACAUUAUGCAAAAUAUGUGGGUGUUUCAUGCACCAAUUACUUGACAAAAAAAAAAUCAAAUGCUAGUUCAUUUUAUGCAUAAUUUUUUGAGAUGCAUGAUUCUGAUCAGUAUAGAAUUAUAAUAUAUAUUAUAUAUCAUGCAAGAAAGAAAGAAAGAAGAUGGAAUGAAAAUGCACGUUUGGGAAAGGGUCUAUUAAUGGAUUGAAAAGUUACUUUCAUUUUGAAUGGUGAUGACAUUUUUUUUUCAAAAAUUAAUUGAACAUGCUUUUAUUCAAUAGAAGCAUUAUGAUCAUUCAGGUGAGCCUUCCCAAAUUACAAAGUUGCAUCACUAGGUCCAACAAAUACUUUUAAAAUGUUCGAUGAAUGGUUUCUUGAAACCAAAAAGUACCACUUAAAAAGUGAUAUCUUUUUGAAGAGUCACUUAGGCACCUAUGAAUGCUUUAUAAAUAGAAACUAAGUUAGGAUAAUUACAAUAUAACUCGUUCCAUCUAAUUUGUGAGUGAAACUCUCAUUCUUUCUUCUUAUUGAUACAUAUUGAACUUGUGAUAUGAAAUUAUUUGUUUAUUCAAAUCAUUCUUUCUUCUUAUUGAUACAUAUUGAACUUGUGAUAUGAAAUUAUUUGUUUAUUCAAAUCAUAAUAUUAGUAACUAGCAUUUGGAUGAUAUUGAUGAGGCAUCAUUUUCAUUGCUAAAAAUGAAAGUUUGCAAAUGAUUAUAUAAUAUAAAUGAUUUUGGUUGUUGUUUUUGCUAAAUAACCAUAAGUUAAAUGAGUUUUAUAUAUGAUUGCACAUUUUUUAUUCUAUGUUAUAAAGUUUGGACUAAAUGUGGUUUUGACUAUAAGUCAAAUACAUAUGCAUGGUUAAUUUUUCUAGUCAAUGUAGAAUAGUGAAAACCAUUAGCUUAUAUAAUAAGAUCACUAUCCUAGUAUGAAAUUGUAACAUCUUAAAAUUCGGGGUUAGGAGUUUUGAGGUUUGUGGUCAGGGCCUGUGAGUAGGGUGAGUAAUUGGGUUUGUAGUCGUGCUUUGAUGACAGAAUGAGCCUAUUGGUUCAAUGGUAAAGGGUGUGUUAGUUUAACUUUGGGUCCCGGGUUUUAGUCCUUAUGUGUGUUUUGGGGAAAUAAUUUUACUUUGGUGUUUUUUUAAGUUUUAAAUACUUAUCUAUUAUUUUUAUUUUUAUUUUGGAGAGAGAAAAGAUCCCAAUUUGUUUUUCCACAUUCUCCCCUUUUCGCACGCCUGUUUCUUCUUCAAUUUCUAUUUUCAAUUUUUGUUGCUUCUUCUUCUUCUGCCUUAUUCUUUUGUUAUUCGAGUAUUGAAGCGUUUUCAUUAGAAAAGUUAUUUGCUCAAUUGUUAGGUGUGGAACUGGGUAAGUAUUAGCAUUGUUUUGUUGAUGAUUCUCUGAAUUUUAGAUUAAUUGCUUAAGGUUUUGUGCUGAUUAAUAAGGUUUUGAAAAAUGGUGGAUUUCAGGCGUCGAUUGUUAGGGCAUUUUCAAUCAUGAAUUUAGGUGUGUGUUCUGCAAUUGACUGAUUUCGUUAUCAAUUGCAUGAUUUCGACAACCCCUUUGUGUGUCUCUUAACUAUCUAAAUCAGUUAGCGAAUUGUUGAUGGAUUUUGGGAAAAAUCUAUAGAAGUCUAAUGUGGUUUGAAUUGUUAACAACUGGGGUAUGUUUUGUUGUCAUACAACCUUGAUUUUAGCCUAUUUCGAGGUGGUUUUGUGACCACACAGGCGUGUGCCACACACAGGCGAUCCACACAGCCGUGUGCAAUUGAGAAAUUAGGUUUUAGGCAAUUUUUGGUGUCAUACGGCCGUGUGGCUAAAUUUUGGGAUUUUAGUCAAUAAUCACACAGGCGUGUGUUCUGGACAGACGGCGAUGUCCCAUGGGCACACGGAUGUGUGAGACUUUCACACAGCCGUGUCUGCUCUGCACUUUAUUUUAGCAAUUUCGGACAGAGAGUUACACAGGCUAUUCACACAGCCAUGUCUCUAGGUCACACAGGCGUAUGUCAUAACCAUACGACCAUGUGCCUCUUUUCACAAAGGUGUGUGCUUGUUUACACAGGUGUGUGCCUUCUUCUCAUGGGCAUGUAGGCAACCAUACAACUUAGGCACUUCCACACGGCCGGGGCCCUGUUUCUCAAAUUUUCGUUUGGUGUUGGAUCUUGACUUGUUUGUGGUUUUGUGUGUUUCGGCCCUUGGUUAGGCCCUAGAAAGGGUGGUUGGGACUCUAUUUCAUCUCAGUUUUGCACGUUUGUUUUUAAUUAUGGAAUUAAUAUAAUAGUUUUUUAAAAUGCUAUUGGUACAUACUGCUUGCAUUUAAUUGAUAUUAACUCUAAAAAUGGUCCACCGCUUAUGUAUUCUAUUAUACGAGUCUGUUAGCAUGUUGAGUGCAUUCUGGCAUUUGCAUAUAAAUUUGGGUUUUGGUUGUGAAGAGAAGGAUGUCUGAUCUGAUUUGGUAGUUUUAAUUGCAACACAGCUGUACAGUGGUUUACCGUAAUAUGCUGUACAUAUGAUAGCUCAGCUGCAUAUUGAUAUUUCAAUGGCUUAGUUCCACAUAUGUGGUGUGUAGGGUGGAUGGGACUUUUGACGUCCUAUAUGGUGUGCAUAGUUGGUUAGGCUUGAUUAGCUCAUAUGUGGUGUGCAGGGUGGUCGAAAUGGUGUUCAGUUGGUGGGGUGGGUUCAUUUUUAAUCUAUCUUGCAUCUUAUUUGUAUUCAGUUUGCAUUUUAACAUACAUCGGUUUGUAUGGAUAAAAUGUUAGUGUGUGUUCUAAUCAAUACAUGUGGUUUGUUUGACUUUUGGUUCAAGUUUCCUUUUAGUAUACACAGUCUGUGUACCAUAACUUGAAAUGUUUGUAUUUGAUAUUUUGUCUUUUAAUAUUCACUUACGUUUCGAACUCACACUAAGCUUGUGUAGCUCACCCCUUUAGUUUUCCCUUUUUAGGUAUUCUCAUUUUUUGUAGAUGGACUCGGCACACUGGAGGUCUCGAAGCAUUACGUUUUAAAUCAAGCUAAUAAAGUAUUUCUUUAACUCUAAUUUUAAAUAAAUUUUUUUGGAUUGUAAGUACUGUUUUUGAAAUUGUGGUACGAAUUUUGUGCCAUACACACGUAAAGUGUUAUUAGAACUGAAGUUUCGAAAAAGGGAGAUUUUUUUUUUAUUUUUGAACAUUUUCUGUCGUAUCCUAAUUACCAUUUUGACUUUGGCAUAUUUUGUUAAAUGAUUUAGCGUGAUUUAAGCAAUAGUUUUCUGACAAAGUUUCAAACAAUUGUUUGGUAAAUUUUCUAGAAUCACUUCAGUUGUCAAUGUGACCUCCAAGAUCCAGUCAAAACUUCUAGGCUGGGUUUUGGGGUGUUACAGAAAUCUUCUAGUGAGAAUAUAUAAUGUGAUAAUCAUAUAUUUGAAAUUGAGAUCAUACCAUGCAUAUUUACGAUUAUGCAUAUGGUUUUUUAUAAAUGGCUUGGAUAUGAUCUAUAAUCUCGUGGUUUUAUAAAAUUUUAAGAUGUAGUAACUUUUGAAAUUUACUAUGGAAGCCAUGAAUCAAAGAUCUUGCAAGUAUGAAAAUAGAAAUAUGAAUGCUAUUUGACCCAUUUAGAUGAUCGACAUGAUUUUGAUCAUAGUCAGAAAGUAAUUGAUAAUAUCCAUGGUGAAAGGUGAAUAAAUGUGUGAUUUUGUUGUCUCUCGAUUAGACAGAUAAUGAUCCUUUAAUAUGACAUAUAUGUUACACCCUUGUAUAUAUAAAGUGAUUUUAUUGUCACUAGACUGGACAGUUGAUGGUCCUUUAAUAUGACAUAUAUGUUACAUCCUUGUAUAUAUAAAGUGUGUUGAGAAAAACAAUGUUAUUUGACUAUAAAUGAAUUUUUUUUAAAGACAUGUACUGACUUAGAAAAGAAGCUAUGACAAACAACAAAUAUGUUGUCUAGUUUCACCAAGAGAUUUGAGGCUUCUUCACAACAACAUACUUGGUGAAAAAGACAUGAUGCAUGGUUUCAUAUAUUUGGUGAUUGUGAAAUUAAUUUCUUGGAUAUUAAGAAAUAAAUCAAGUAGACAAAUAUGAAAUCAUCAUGAUAAGAAAAGAUAAAGUGAUUAUUGUAAUUUGACAAUAGUAAAAAGGUUGUCCCUGAUAGCAUUCUUUUUCAAAAGAAUGGGUAAUUUAAAAUGGUAAAGAUGUUGGCCUUGUGAAUUUUCAAGACACAAAUAAAUAUAAAGUUUCACUUGUGGUAUGGAUAAUUAACAUAGCUAUGUUGAAAAUUUAGAAAUUUAGGGAUGAGGUACAUGCCUAUAAUAUUUAAGUCACCCAUGCUGGAAACUCAACUCAACGUUUGAUAUAACAUCAAGUCUUGAGUUCAAUGAGACAAAGUAUAUUAUCAAUAUGUGAUCGCUAACACUAUAAAAUAAUUUAUCAUCCCAAUGUAAAAAAGUUAGGUACCCGUAAUGAUAAGGGGAAGGAUAAGUAUUAUACUCUUAAUAGACCCAUAACAUAAAUAUGUCAGUGUUAUAAUUACAGGAGCACUCUUGAUGGGAUCUGCCUAUGUGAGCGGAAGUGUUGUGUAACUAGAUUUUUGUGCAAAUGUAUAAUUCAUUCAAGUAAUAAGUAAGUAAAAUGAGUUAUUGUCUCCCCAGGGGCUGUGUAAGUUAAUCAAUUAUCUGCAAAAUUAUAAGUUAACAAUUUAGUGAUAAAAACACAAUAAUUUGAGUGAUGAUGAUUAAACUAGAUUAAUUUAACUAAAUGCAAGAUUGAUCCCUGUCGAAACCACUUUUUGAAAACAAAAAUUAGUAGUUGACUUAAAAAUGAAAAUCAGAGUCGCCACCGAUAUUUUAUUGAGGUGUGAUCGGACCACCUUGAAAACAAUUAUAGGUCUACGAACUUUGAAAAAAUAGGUUUGGGAGUCGAUUACGCACGAGGAAAGGUUAGCACCCUCGUAACGCCCAAUAUUGGUACCGAAUGGAUUGUUUAAUGUCUUAGUGUCAAAAAUUUGAAAAGAUUUUAAAAUACGAUCCUUUUAACUUUAACUAAAUUGAAUUAAAUGAUAAGACACACUUAUUUCAAAGAAAUAAAAUGUCACACCCAAUGAGUUAGGGCGCAACAUUUUUAAUCUUCAAGAUUAAGUUUAUCUUUUGACUUUUUAAAACCUAUACAUUUUGAGAAGGAUAUCUAGUUAUUCGGGUCAAAUGAAAAAUCAAAACCCUGUAAGUUAGGGCUCAAUUUCCCAAAAUUUCUAAAUACCGAAUAUUGCCUUUAUUAUUUUUUUUAAAAUCUUUAAUUCGAGGUGGCAAAAAGUCAUAUCCAGUGAGUUAGGAUCCAACAUUUUGAAAUCCCGAAAAACUUUUAUUUAAAAUUUGUAUGGUUUUAUUGCAAAAGAAAUACUUUGCUAUCUAAAUUCAUCGAAAAAAAUUGAAGCCCGGUAAGUUAGGGCACAAUCUUCUCGAGAAUCGUGAAUACCGAGUAUUUUUAAAAAUUUAAGGAAUAGAAUGAUUUUAGUGCUCUAAUGAAACACAAUUUUUAAACAAAUGUAGUAUGAUUGAAUAGUAAUGUAUAAUGUAAAAGAUAUAAUUUAUAAUCUAAAUACACACUAUGGGAUAAUAAACAAGCAAUAGACAACAAUAAUAGCAACAACAAUUUUAAUCACAUUAUGCAAAUAUCAAUAUUAAUAUUCAAAAAACUAAACAAAUCCAUCAUCAAAUUUUUAAAAGAUACACCAAGAUAAUACAAAAAUAUAUCCUAUGUAUAAAAGUUUUAAAAUAAAAAUAUAUAAGAAUAUUCAAAAGGUGAAUUUUAAAACAAAAUAAAAAUAAAACAUCAAAAUAUAUAUAAAUUAUAUCAAAUUUUCAUAAGAAUAUAUAUAUAUAUAUAUUAAUAAAUGAUGAAUUAAAUAAGAAUAUGUAAAGUUUGAAAAUAAAAGUAUAUAAUGGAUUUUAAAAAAUAAUGUAUGAUAAUUUUAAAACAUGUUAGUAAUAAUUUAAAAUAAUAGUAUAUUAUAUCUUAAAAUCAUAAUAAUAAUAAGUUAAAAAUAAUGUCAAGCUAAAUAUUAAAAUAAUAUUAGAAAUAAUAUAUUAAGAUAAGUAUUAAUUUAUUUUAAAAUUAUACUAUUAGAGGCUAAAUUAGACAUGAAAUAUAAUUUAGAAUAUAAAAUAAUAAAAUAAUAAUAAUGGAUUAAAAAUAAAAUUGGAAUUUUAAUAAAAAUUUUAAAAAACACUACAAAUAGAAAUAAAAAGGAAAAUAAAGAUAAACUAAAUUUGUAAUCGACUUGAAAAAUGAGGGACUAAAAUAGCAAAUAAGAGCAAAAAUCUGAAUAUUCAAAGUCAAUCGUAGAAAACGACACCGUUUAAACAUGGAUCCAAAUGUAAUUAGAAUCAAAUAUGCGAUAUAAAUUAAAAAAAUGAAGAAAAUCAAAUUGAAACUAUAGAAAACAAAGGGGGACUUGUUACGCAAAUAGACCAAUAAACCAAAAUGAGCGGAUCCUGCCCUCGGGUCAGGUCACCGCAUGGGUCUGAGCUUCUAAACGGCAUCAUUUUUAAAGCAACUGAAGAAUGUUUAAAACGGGGUUGUUUUCUUCACAAUAUAUAACCUAGAAUAAAAUCUAAACUAACAGCCUCCCAUCAUUUUCUAAAAAACUUUAAAGAACCCUAAUGAUCUCUCUAUGCCCCGCUCCAUGCCUAAGCCAACCAAAGGCACUUUGAUUUCCAUCCAACUCCGAUUGCGACGGAGUAGAAGGAAAGUCGGCCACCAGGUAAGCUUUUAGUCCUUUUAUUUAUCUUUUCUUUCAUUUUAGCACACAAAUCAUCAAAUAGAAAAAAAGAAACCAAAGAAAGAAAAGAAAAAAUAAAUCUGCAAUUACCUUUCAAACAUUUUCUUUUGAUUUCUCUGAAUAUUUUUUGGUUUUUGUAUUCAAUAUGCGUAACCGUUUACAGAUUUGGUUGGCUCUUUUUAUAGUCGAGACAGAGUCAAAAGAAAAAGAAAAAAAGCUUGAACCUUUUUACAUUUUUCUCUAUUUUUUCUAUUAUUUACUGUCACUGUUUUGUUGCUCUGUUGUUGUUGUCUGUUUCUAUUGCAGGAGUGGCCGUACGAUGACGUGGCACAACGCGUGGCGAAUGCACAGAGGGUGGUGCUAGAAGCUGUUAGGCGCGCGACGGCUUAGGCAGAUAGAGCUUUAGGGUUUCUCUCAGGACUUAUUUAGGGUUAUUGGGUUUGUAAUCAGGCCUAGUAUUUGGGCUAGACAUUUAGGGUUUUAGUGAUUAGGCUUCAAUUUGAAUUUGGCCCAUUGUAAUUGACUUUAUUGACAUUGGACUUUUAAUAAUUUUUAUUUAUUUGGUUUUUUAUUGGUCCAGGCAAAAUGGGUAUUACAGCUGCCCCUCUUUGCUCGUUGUCGUGUAACGGGAACGGAGCAAAGACUUUAAAAUGGCCAAUUUUGCCUGGUCGUGCUGGACCUUGGUGCUCCUCUUCUUCAAGUAGCCUCAUUCAUUCUACUGCAUCUUUAGGGGUAUAGGAAUUGGUGCUUCGAUCGACUCCACUGUAACAUCAGGGAGAUAGGAUUUGUAACUCUUCGAAGGAACAUUUGCUAUCAUCAGUCAGCUUCACUACAACUUCGAGGAGACAAGACUUGUAGCUUCAACUUGUUCCACUGAGGUUUGAUGCGAUCUGCUCUACUGUAACUCAUAGAGAUGAGAUCUAUGAUUUUAAUCCGCUCCACUGCAACUUCAGGGAGAUAGGAUCUGUGGUUUUAACCUACUCCACUGCUGCCCAGGGAGAUAGGACUGGCGGCUUAAAUCUGCUUCCCUACUACCUUGGGAAGAUAAGAUUCACUGUUUUUUAUCUGCUCCACUACUGCUUAAGGAGACAGGAUCUACAAUUUUCAACCUAUUCCACUGUUGCCUAGGGAGAUAGGACUUACAAUCUUCAACCUAUUCCACUGCUGUGCAGGGAGAUAAGACUUACAAUCUUCAACCCAUUCCACUGCUGUCUAGGGAGAUAUGACUUACAAUCUUCAACCUAUUCCACUGCUGUCCACUGCUGUCCACUGCUGUCCAGGUCUCUGUUACCUUUGGCAUCCACUCAACAAGUUUAUUAUACUCACACUAGCGAUCUUGAAGAUCAAUCUCGUGUUUCAGAAUACUAGUUGUGACAUCGAUGUCUCGACCAUCCAACUAAACAUGUCUAGAGCGUGGUCUAAUCCUCUUGUAAUAAAAUUAUUCAUGAGAAUCAAGAAUGUUCUUUUUUGUGCUGCCUACCAUGUUGGCAAAAUUCACAAAUUAUUUUUUCUUCAUCAAACAUUGUGUAUCAGAAACUCAGUUUACAGAAACGAGGUUUCGAGGCCACUUUUUUUGACACUACUAAAAAUCGGGUCGUUAAAGAAAAUACAAAGGAAGAAAAAACAUGUUUAGACAAGCCAAGAGCCUUUGGCUUUGCUCCAACAAUAGGAGACAUAAGAGUUGUGUUAUCAAAUAGAUGAAUGCUAAUCAUUGCGAUCAAACCGGUGAUUUUGAUGAUGUUAAUGGUUAUUUUGGUGGAGAGGUAGGAAAUUAAUCAUCAUAUAUAAUAUAAUUAUGCAAUUCAAGCCUAUAUUGUAUGUUCAUACAUAAAAUUUUCAUGGGAGGUCCAAAGGCAAUUAAAUGACUUGUAUGCUUGCUAAAAUUUUUUGAAAGGACCAAAGGCAAUUGAACAUUCAUAAAAUAGUCUCCAAAUACUAUAAAGACAAAUAAAAUCCACAUGAGCAUUAGAGUUGAUUAAGCUGCGCAUUAGCAGAACUUCCAUCAUAGGAAAUAUUACUUGGCACUUGGUAGUAUAUAUGUAGACUUUGACUUUGCAUUCAAUAAUGGCAAAACCACCUCUUGAUUUAGAAAAACAACAUAAUCCAUGAAACAUUGAUAGCCCAAUACAAAUUUCAUGUAGAAAAAAGUCUUUGUUUUGUAGCGCAUAAUAGUAAAGCAUGCGAAGUUUUAUUCUUCUUAUUGGCCUCCUUUAGUUUUCCUUGAUCAACAACCACUAGCCAAAAACACAAUUAGAUUAGAUUAUAAAUGAUACAUUCAAUUAUGAUAAUAUUAAAUAGAACACACCCUAAAUAAAUCUAAAUAAAUGGAGAGUAGCAAAUUACCUGACAAGGCAAGGUAGCUUAGUUAAGACCAAUGUGUUAGACUUGUCCCUGCAUUGAACAAUCUAGAAGAAAAUGAAGAGAAACACUGAGACAACUCUUGAAAACAGAUUAAACUUAUAUGUCAUUGCUUGGAUAAACUAUGAUUACCCAUAACAGACCUUGUAUUUGACUUUUUGUUAAGGGAGAUCAACUCUUCAGGAGAAGUCUUCUGAGUGUUAUCUGCCAGGUAGUCAACAUUGCCCUCAACAACAAAAGGUAUUGUCCCCAUGUCGAGAUUUUAUUCCUAGCCUCUACAGAAAAAUCAUGAAGAAUACGUGCGAAAGGAUUCAAACCACCAACUAACGUAUAUGUAACAUUUACCUCGCAAUCAUCUCCGUAAACCCAUAGAGAUCUUUGCAGAAUCAAGAGACAAAACCCCAACUCAAGAAUAAUACCAUUUGUUGAAGAGUCUGUCAAAAUAACAAAUGAAAUUUAAAUACAUAGUUUUUCAGUGAAAGAAAAUAACAUAUUUAAUUAGAGAAAAACAACAAAAGAUCCAACAAUAAAGUCCGUAGUAAAAGAUUAAAACAAAAUUAUACCGUAAUGAAAUAAGAAACUAAGAAAACCAAAUCUAACAAAGAAAAUAACUUGAUGUCCCAAAGCUACCAUAAACCGUAAUUCAUGGGAAGGCCUGCUACUCAUUUUGAUUUUGCAAAAGAAGUUUGAAUUCCGAAGAGAGCAAAUGAUUGAGCAAAAGAAAGAAAUUAGUUUAUUAAUUUUCACAAUUUAUAAGACAAUCUUCAAGGAGACCGAUACCGACAUAUUUGAUAUCUAUAAUUAAACUGCUAGAAUAGAUUAAAAAUGUUAAUAAAAUUAAGUGUGAAUUAAUAACCACAAGUGUACUCAUUACUUACCAUCUUUGUUAAACAUGUUUGAUGUUGUUUAGCAACCUUUGUUUGAUUUUCUUUAGCUCAGCCACAACAUCUUUCAUAUCUUUUCUUUCUUCUGGUAAUUCAGUUGAACAAUUCAAAGCCAACUCCAUGAUGGAUGAAAUGCAAUUUGCUUUAACAAUAAAGUACUCAUCCUCUCUUUUUAAUAAAUCAACAUCUGCAAUUUCUAUCGCUCCUUUAGGCAAUGAACUUUCCAUCCAAUGCCUUAUAGUCCUUUCUUCAGCAAAAAAAUUAUCAGUUGGCUUCUUCUUUGUGAAAGUUUCUAUGAGGACAAUCCCAUAACUAUAGACGUCACAUUUUACAGAAACAAUUCCUGCAGAUCCAAAUUCUGCAUUUCAAGUAUAAUUAGAGCAUCGUUAAUCCUUAAUUAUUUCUAAAAUGAUUAUUCAAAUAUAUAUCCACCUACACACGAAACAAAAAUAUAAAAUGCAAAUUAGAAAAAUAAUAAUACAAAAAUAAAAAAUUCACCUGGUGCCAUAUACCCAAUAGUUGCAAGAGUCAUGGUAUGCUUCAUUAAGUCACCUUCUCCCAACAAUUUGGCAAUGCCAAAAUCUCCCACAUGUGCAACCAUGUCUUCAUCUAGUAAAAUAUUGUUUGGUUUUAAGUCACAAUGAAUUAUAGGUGUUGGAUGUCCAUUGUGGAGAUGUUCUAUAGCUGAUGCAACAUCAAUCAUUAUGUCAACCCUUUGUAUGAUAUCGAGGAAAUGGUUUUUAGAAUGUAACAAUUUCUCAAGAUUUCCGUUAGACAUGUAACCAAGCACCAAGGCUUUGAAGUCAACACUUGAGCAGCAGGUAAUGACCUUCACAAUAUUACGAUGAACUAUAUUACUCAUAGCAUCACAUUCAAUGUCAAAACUCCUAAAUGCUCCCUCUGUUUGCAAAUUGAAAACUUUUAUUGCAACUUCCAUUCCAUCUGAAAGCCUCCCUUUAUAUACAUAUCCAAAACUCCCUGAACCAAGCAUAUUGCUUUCCUCAAAUCCAUUAGUUGCUCGUGAAAGUUCAGCAUGUGAAAUUCUUCUCGGUGUUUUCAAAGACAACAAAUCAUCUUUAAUUGGUAGAGUUGUACUCCUUCUUUGGCAUCUUCUAUACAUAAUAGUUAACACUAUUAGUAGUACGACAACACCAAUUGUUGGUAAACCAUACCUUAAAGCAUGCAAUAUAAUCUUUUCGGAGUUUUCGUGAAUGUCGUUUUUGCAAGGUGGGACUAGCAAUCUAGGUGGACCACAAAGUGCAUAAUUCUUCAUGAAUGAUGUGCUAGAAAAGUUUGAAAAACUUCCUUCAGUAGGAAUUUCCCCUUCAAGUCUGUUGAAAGACACAUUAAAAUACUUUAGAUGUAAAAGCUUUUCC